rnacentral:lncRNA from 1 species
CCAGAUUGAGGUGUCUCAAAUGUAUCAAUUUCCCUACCUCGUUUGGUAUUUCUUUGAUUGAAGACCCUGACAAAUUCAAUGACCUGAUGCAUGUCAACUGCUUGAACAAAUCAGGCAGUGCAGCUCCAAGCGAAGGGUCUCUAGUGUCGAACAAUAGGCUGCGAAGACCUUUUGCUUUGUGAAUGGACACGGGAAAAGAGGUCUCCUCUGACAGCAUCAUGCUUAAAUGACGAACCCUUUCAAUUGAAGUCUCCACUGUUGCUUCUCCAAGUGUAUUGACAUCCACUGUUAGACAUUCAUUUUUUGUCAUAUAUUGGGCAAAAUCAUGCACUAUAUCAUGCAUCUUGAAUCUAAUAUGUUCUCGAUCAUACGUCUUAAAAUCUUGGAAGAAAGAGCGCGCUGCCAAGACUUGAAAGUAAUCCUCCCCAACAAGCUCCAUGUCUCUACUUGUAGUCUCCUUAAGGUAACCUUGAGCCAUCCACAUCUUCACCAAUUCAUCUUUUCAUCGUAGUCUUUUGGAAACAUGGCACAAUACAAGAAACAUCGUCUUACCACAGAAGGUAAAUCGUAGUAACUCAAAAGCAAAGGUAAAAUAGUCCCUCUUUCAACAUGUUCUAGCUCCCACAUUCGCUAGAUAAAACACGUUCCCACUCUUCUCUUGUUCUUUUAGACUGCAUUAGACCUCCUAAUACCUUGGCAGCUAGAGGCAAGCCCUUGCACUUGCUUGCAAUUUUAUCGCCGAUAUCUGUCAAUCUUUCGCGCUCAUCUUGCUUCUUUCCUGGAAUGCCACUGAUUGAAUAUUGACCUGCAUACCUCAUCAGACAAUUUCUCAAUGUUGAUCCGGUGGUCAGUUCCCAUCAUCGUUGCCACAGAAUGUUUACGAGUGGUCACUAGAAUUCUGCUUCCUCGUGCACAGCCUGUGAGAGAUGGUUUCAGUUGUUCCCAUUGUCCAUGAUUUUCUGUCCAGACAUCAUCAAGGACAAGAAGGAACCUCUUUCCCUUAAUGGAUUCAGAAACCCUUGCAAAAGGGAUUGCAAUUCAACCAAAUCGGCCCUCCCUUCAAGCUGCUCAAGGAUAGCUUUGGCUAUUCUAACCUCAUCAAAUGGUUCUGAAACACACACCCAUAUCUUUUUCUCAAAAUGAGCCGUAACCUCAGCAUCAUUAAAAGCUAGUUGGGCGAGAGUUGUUUUUCCAAUUCCGCCCAGCCCUACUAGAGAGAUGACAUCCACGUCCCGUGCUUCCUGACUACUUUCGCCAGCAACUUGCUUACAGCUUCCUUUUCACAUCUCGACCAUCACGCUUGAUUCAUCAACAAAGGAGGUACUUGUUAUUCGUUGGAGUUCAUCAGUGGCUUGUACAGAUCAAAGCCAUACAUAGCUCUCUCUUUGGCAAUCUCCACUUUUUCACAUACUUCUUUGAUCUUGAGGGCAAUGUCUCGACGUCGAACCACUUGAUUGAAACAAAAGCAAGGAGAUCUCAGGAAGGAACACCGUAUCUUCUGUCGGCUGUGAGUAUUUUCUUCAGAAUCCCCCAUUUUCCAUGUAAGAAUUGCAGAGCUCCAUUCAUCUAGCACGUCAUCCAUAUCAUAGCAUACAUCUUUGAGCUUGUCUACCCAAUCCCUUACAGCCUUAUCCUUCACUUGUUUUCUAUCUGCAUUUUCUCUAAAAUAAAAUGACUCGUAAAUAAUGUAAUGCUAAUGCCACUAUUAUUGUACUUAAAUUUACUAGAUGAGUGAAUUAAAAUAUAUUUUAUUUGAAUAUAGGAUUUCUUUAGAUAAAAGAAUUCAUAGAUAUUAUAAUAAUCAUAUAAUUAUGUAGCGCAAUACAUUGCAAUUUCACAAUAUUAUUAUGUGACUUUUAAUAGUUAUGCAUAGUCUAUUUUUAAAAAAAAUCUGUGAGGUUGAUCAAAAUAAAAAAGAAAUAUUAGAAUUUCUAUAAUCAUGUUUGUGAUCGAAUAUUUGACUAUAUUUAUUUUAAUCAUUUUAUCAUAAUAAUUUUAUUACAAAUAUAGUUAUUUAUGCAUUCAAAUAUGAUAAGGAAUUGUGAAAAAGGGAAUUUACUACUAUUUUACUAUAUUGAUUUGUUCUAACCAGCCAUCACAAUAACCAUAUUUUGUAUAGCACAAAAGAUAUAAAGAAAAAGAAAGAUAAUCGUAAGAACCCGCUAUCUAGUAAAAUAAUAUAUAUAUAUAUAUAUAUAUAUAUAUAUAUAUAUAAAUCAAGGUACUGAAUUAACUAAUUUUAACAGAUAUUCUAUAAGAUAAUGAAAUCAAUGUAUAAUGAACUAUAAAUGUAGAAAAGUAAUUAAGUACCUGUUGAUUAUAAAAGAAAGAAAGGAAACAAAAAAGAGUACCUGUAGAGUAACGAUCGUGGUUAACUGGUCCAAAAUCGGGGAUACAAGUGCGUCAGCCAUUGUUGUUCUUACUACUGAAUGUGUCAAGAAAAAGGAGAGAAAGUAAUGGGGCGUUGUUGACUGAUGAAAUGAGAAGUUGAUGAAGAUAGGAAGGAUAGUGAUCGACUGUGGAGUGCCAGAGAAAAUUAAUUUGAGGUUAUUUUCAAUGAAGUUUAGGCAAUAUAUACUGCAAAUUAAGAUAAUUUGCUUAAGACUGAUGCAAGGUUGAUGCAAGCAAAGAAUGAUUCUGAACUUCAGCAUAAAGCAGCUAAUUUCCUACAAGGUUGAUGCAAGCAAAGAAUGUCACUGAAACAACGAGAAAAUAUGCGUAAGAAGGAAAAGGAAAAGGCAAAGGUAAGUCUAGAACUAGCCAUUGCUUCACUUUGGGUUCAAGUAUAAUGCAUCAGUCAUCAGUCAUUUUCCUAUUUGUAUGUUUAUAUGGAAAUGACCUGUCGUUUUGAGUUCCAAAAGUGAAAGGCCCAUUUUUUUGCCUUAAUUUUAAAACAAAUAAAUAAUCAUUAACAUACCUAAAAAUAAAAUUUAAAAAUUAAAAGAUAAAUAUAGAUCAAGAUAUUUAAUUUUACAAGAUGAGACAUUUAUCUAUUUGCUAAAUUUUUUUAUUAAUUUUUUUUAAUUUAAUCAAACAAUAAUAAAAAUAAACAAAUAUAUUAAAUUGAUUGAAUAAAAUAAAAAGAAAACAGGAAUAAUAUGCAAGGCUACACAUAUUAGAAAUAUCAUCUAAAAAAAUUGAUUGAAUAAAAUAAAAAGAAAACAGGAAUAAUAUGUAAGGCUACACAUAUUAGAAAUAUCAUCUAAAAAUAAAUAUUUUUUAUUUUUAAAAAUACAGUUCAUCUAUACAAAAGACAAAAAAAAUUAUAAAUAAAUCAGAAAAAUCUCUUUAAAAAUUAAACAUAUAACAAAAAAAUCAAUAUUAUUUAAAAGAUACUGUCUGAACAAAAUUCUACUGUGGAGCGCAAGAGAAAAUUAAUUUGAGGUUGUUCUCAAUGAAGUUUAGGCAUUGAGAACAAAGAUCAAAUUGGAUGUUUUGCACUUUGGAGUUUGGAUAAUGAUAUUGUAAUGUUUUGAAUUAAUGAGAUAGGAAAAGCCUAGAAACCCCUUGAAGGCUUAGAUGUAGGAAUAAAUUAAAUGAGGGGUAUAGUAGUAAUUGGAUAAAUAGUUGAUAAAUAUAAAUAGGAAGUAAAAAAAUAAAAUAAAUAUAGAAAUCUGAUUUUGAGAGGAAGAGAAUCGGCAGAAGUGAGAAAGGAAAGAAGAAGAAGAGAAAAGAGGGGAAAAUAAGGGGAAAAAGGAAGAGAAUUGGAGGAAAUAAGUGAAAAAGGUAAGAUUUAGGUUGUUUAAUGUGUAUAAUAUGUUAAUUAAGUUUUAAUUUCAGUUUUAUGAAUGUUAGGGUUUUGAGAAUUUGUGUUCGAUUUAAAUGAUGAAUUAAAUUGAAGGUUAGGGGUGAUUGUUGUUGUUUAAUUGAUGAUUUAGUUGAUUAUGGAAGAUUAUGAUGAUUUGAGUUAUAGAAUUGUGUAAAUGGUGAAAAUUGAGUUAGAAAUCAGGGAGAACAGUGGGGUUUCUGUUAAAAUCUGGACUGGAGGUUGAAGAUGACGAAAAAUUCAAUUUGGUCCCUCAAUUCAGAAAAUUACAGUUAGUCCCCGAACUUUGGAAAAUUACAAAUUGGUCCCUGGAGCAUAUUCCGAGAUUCUGAACAGAAUAACAUAUGAAUUAUGGACAUAAUUACUGUAUAGAUAAGAGAAUUUAACACUUUCAAUUUAGUCCUCCAAUUUGACAAAAAGUACAAUUUGACCCUAAAAAUUUAGUAAAAUUCCAGAAUGAUCCCUGAAGCAUAAUGAUACAUCCUGGACAGAAUUGAGGAUUAAUUAAGGUCAGAAUUUCAGUAUAUUCAUGGAUUUAUGACAAAUUUCAGUUUGGUCCUCCAAUUAGACAAAAGUUACAAUUUGGCCCUAAAAAUAUGAUAAGUUCCAGAUUAGUCCCUAGCUGUAAUAUUAGCUUUUGCAGAUUAGUUUGAUGAAUAAUUAAGGGUUAUUUAGUGAAUUAUUACCAAUUUUAUUAGUUGUUUUUAUUAUGGAUUAGAUUUCGGGAAAACCGUUAGAUUUUGGGUUUUUAAGAAAAUUGACUAGUUAGUUCAAAAACAUAUAGGGUUACGGAAUACACCCUUAGUUAAGUGUAUUAAAUAUUAAAUGUUCUUUCGAGUCGUUUUUGAAUAUGUCUCCUUUGUAUUCAGAUAAUCCUGAUAUUCUACCGGCAGGACGUCAGUAGAAUUUCCUUCGGUUUCAGCUUGUGUGUGUUGUUUGCUUUUGAGUCAGGUGAGUGGAUAAUUUUCCAUAUGCAUGAGAAAUAUUAUAAAUAUUUGAUUUGUUAAUAUGAAUUGGAUCAUGCUUCUUGAUAAUAUAUAUGCUGAUUAUUAUCCUUGAUAUGAUAAAGCAUGAUCAAUUAUUGAAUCUGAUUUCUUGAUAUGAACCAAUAUGAUUUGACUUCUGAAUUGAUAGCUCCUCAUUUGAUGGAUGUCAUGAGUUGAGCUUUGAGAUAUGAAUAUGUUUGUUUGAUUAUGAUUAUGAACCUAUGGUAUGUCAGUCAGAAUACCCAUGCUAACAGGGUAGUGUUAGUCUUUGUGCACAUCGUAUCUGAACCCUAGUUGGUCGGGGGAGUCACCAACCUGUGUGGACUGAUCAUCCCACAGUACGGAGCCUCAUGCUCAUUGCAUUUUGAUUUUCUGACGAGUUUUACCAUAUGAUAUUCUUGUUAUGGCCUAUUUGAUAAACCUUCGUAUAAGAACUAAAGCCAUACUUGUAUAUAUAUUUCUCAUUGUUAUAUUACCUCGUAUGUGUAUAUUGAAUGUUAUCUACUCACUGAGUUGUUGAACUCACCCUCUCAUUAUUUAUUCUUUUCAGGCUUAUAGCUUGAUAGCGGGUUACUUUUGUUGAACCUUCCGAACCUGCUUUUGGUUGUAAUUUGUAUCUUUCUUUUUAUGUCAAGUUAGUGCUCCAAAACUAUGAAAAAUUAUUAACUCUUGUAUUAAGACAAUUACAUUAUAUUAUGAAGUUGUUUGUUGUUAAUUAUGCGUUAAACUCUGAUUGAGUUGUUUAAAGGAUUGUAUGUAAGUUUGGGUUCGCAUAGGUUUGGAACCUUGGAGGGGAACCUUGCCUAUGUGCCGGUCAUGGAUCCGGGAUUCGGGUCAUGACAGAUAUUAAUCUUUGUUGUUUGGGGAUUAAGAAUUUGGUGAUAAAUUUCUUGUUGUGAAAUAGUUAUGGUAAAAUAUAAGAUAAAUCCUAGUGAACACGUCUUCCCAAAAUACACUGCGUGUACUGGACUCUCAAUGUUCAUUUUUGCCUCAUUUUGCCUUAAUUAAUUUUAACUGCAAAACAACUAGCUCAGUACCGCACCAGCAAACGAGAAUGGAAAAGCUCACCAAGAUGCCCUCAAAUUAAUGGAGUCAAUGGAGAAAAAAACUGGAGCUGCUGGAGGCCAGACGGCACAUGGUGGAAUAGUUCAUGCCCUGGCAUGCGUCAUCACUGUUCCACCAUGUGCCGUCGCGACCUCCAUUGAACAACAAUGAAAAACAUAUACGAAUUUAGCUUCAUGUCUUUAUAAGAGAAUUUCAUAAACAUACCAUAACAAAAAAUAUCAUAAAAUAAAUCUCUUAAAAAAUAAAAAUACAAUAAACAUGUAGGUUCAUAUUAUAAGAUAAUCAGUUUAUAUAAAUUGUUGACACCCCCAAUCAAUUAAGGAUCAAAUACGAUAUAUAUAAAUAUUAACAAUUAACAAGAUCUUAUUAGCAUGAAUAUUCUAACUAUUAUAUCAUAGGGUUAUAAUCAAACGAACAAAAUCAUUUUCUAAAAGCUCAACUCAUAUAAUUAAUUAAAUAAAAAACUAUCAAUUUAAAAAUACAUAAUUGCUCAAAUCAAGAAAUCUAUCUCAAUAAAUAAUAAUGUUUUAUAGAACAACAGAUAAUAAAUAUUAUAUAAAUUACUAAGAAGUACUAUCAAUUUAAUAUUAAUAAUUUGACUAUUUAUACUACUCCUCUGCAGCAUAUGAGAUAGUAAGUGAUAGAAUGGUCCCCAUGUUAUGGUUUAUAUUUUGCUUUAAACAGAGUAUAGUUGUACUAAAAAUACACCCCUUUCCCGAAAGGAAGGGGAAGAACACAAUCAAGGGAUUUCUUGUUGUUUGACUUCUCAUGUUUCUCUCCCACCACGGGCAACUGUUUAUUUUCGCCAAGGUGAAUUGAGGCUUCAAGUAGAAGAAAUUAUUUACUGGUUAGAAACUUGGUCGAUUUCACUGUUGUCUUUGAGACAAAUGAAACUGAGGUUUUUGGUUUGCAAUUUGGGCAGAUAAGGAUAAUCCUUAUUGUUUGGUGUUUGAGAAUUUGGUGCUAAAUUUCUUGUUGUAAAUUGCAGAAAAUAGUCAGGGUAAAAAUUUAAGAUGAAUGCUAGGGUACACAUCUUCCCAAAAUGCACUGGGUUCUGGAUUCUCAAUGUUCAUCUUGCAGUUUGACAAGAGAAUCUUUCCUUCACUUACACUAUCUUUUUGUUUGUUUGGCCGAUGCAUGAUUUUUUUACCUCAUUUUUCCUUGAUAAAUUCUAACUACAAAACAGCUACUUCACCAACAAGAUGGAAAAGGCUCACCAAGAUGUUCUCUUUGAAAAGAUUCUCAGUGAGUCGUUGACAUCUCAUUUUUGGAAUUUCUCCAAUAGCUUGAUGUCUACUCUCACUAUAUUGAGUAGGAUGACUAUAGAAUUACUCUGAUUUAUCAACACAUAUCAAAUUCUUGCUGCUGCUGAGGAAGAUAUCUGCACUUAGCCAUCAUAGAGGGUAGCGAAUUUUGUGUUGAUGGAAAUUACACUGACUCAUUGUGUACCAUCUAGAAUUCAAUUUUAAAAAAAAUUGCAAGAAAUGUUGUUUUUUCCUAAAUACAUCAAUCGGGUGUGGAUAGCUUGAUUAAAAUGCGACUUACUAAAAAGUCUUGGUCUUAAUAUGCAAAGAUGAUCCAAGUAUACCAUAUUUCUUUUAAAAUAAAACCCACAGAUCUAGUCCACGCAAAGGUACUGGAAUAUGGAUUUGUAAAAAUAAAAAUGAAAAUUUAUACGAAAUUGAAUUGUGCUAAAAAAACCCACAGAUCUAGUCCAUGAUCUACGGCUCCUCCAGAGUUCCGUAGUGGUGUCUUUCUCAACUAUUCUUUAAAUAAAAUGUGUGGGAUGUGAGAAAUCUUGUGCCUAUCUUCACCCCUCUCCUCCUUCCCGUAACGUUUCCUUAGAGAAUUUAUGUAGAGGCGCUGUCAAAACAUAGUCCGGUAGUGCUCUCAACAAUGGGCAUUUGAGAAUUCUAAACUCAACAAGUUGUGGCAUGAUGAAUAUUGAAGUCGUGGUGGAAUCUUCUUCUCCCACUCUCCUUUCAAUCCCAUCCCACUCCUCUAGUUCUUUGAGAUGCCAUAUGCUAAGUCUUUUCAAUUUGGGGAAAGCAGCGACUCUUGCAAUUUCUCCUUCAUUAAUAUUGGUAUUGCCACCAUUUUCUAUGCCUAAAAAUCCACCAUCCAACCUUCUCAGCUUCAUGCUCAUCCAUCUGAAAAUCUUGGAAGAAAGAACGUGCUACUAAGACUUGAAAAUACUCCUCUCCAACAAGCUCCAUACCUCUACUUGGAGUCUCCUUAAGAUAACCUUGAGCCAUCCACAUCUUCACCAACUGGUCUUUUUCCAUCUCGUAGUCUUUUGGAAACACCGUCUUGCCACAGAAGGUAAAUCGUAGUAACUCAAAAGCGGAGGUGGAAAUAGUGCUAUUUCAACAUGUUCUAGCUCCCACAGUUCGCUAGAUAAAACAUGUUCCCACUCUUCUCUUGUUCUUUUACACUGCACUAGACCUCCUAAUACCUUGGCAGCUAGAGACAAGCCCUUGAACUUGCUUGCAAGGAGAUCCCAGGAAGGAACAUCGUAUCUGCUGUAGGCUGUGAGUAUUUUCUUCAGCAUCCCUCAUUUUUCAUGUAAGAAUUGCAGAGCUCCAUUCAUCUAGCACAUCAUCGAUAUCAUAGCAUACAUCUUUGAGCUUGUCUAGCCAAUCUCUUGCAACCUUAUCCUUCACUUGCUUUCUAUCUGCAUCUUCAAGGACAGAUUGGAUAGCAAGGAGAUUGCUUUUCAGCUUGUCGACACACCCCCUACUAGGUUCACCUCUUCCUGUACCUAUUGGUGCAGAAAAGAUAAGAAAGUUGAAGCAGAGGAAACAUUUCUAUGAUUUCUUUAAACAGUAUCUCACAUAAUUUAAUCUCCUGAACUACUAACUAAAGUGUUGAGAGCCAAUUUAAGUUCUCAAGGCUGAAGACCCCAACUAGACUACUGUUACCUAGAAUUCAUUUUACCUACAAUACUCAGUAUGUGUGGCAGAAAAUCGCAAUACCUAAAUGGCUGAAUUUACAAGUAUAUCAAUCAAUUAUGUAAUGAACCGGGUGCAAGUGCAUGGCGCAAGUAUAUUAAACCUACUGAAUUUUUCUUCUACUUUUUAUAUACCAAACCUUGUAAAAAACACCACUGCUCAAAUUCAAAAAUAAAAAGUGGAGGAAAUUUUAAAGUGAUGUACCCCUCUUUGAGUGUCAAGAUAGCGGUGUGUACAGCAUCAUCAAGCUCCAUAUCAUCAGUGUAUCUACAGAGCACAUAUUAAGUUAGGGAAAACAAAAGUUGUUCAAAUCAAAUGAAGAUAUGUGGACAAAAAACAAAAAUAUUUACCAUGUUUCUGUCCAUUCAAUUCUUUUUUUCUCACUUUCUUUUUCUUUUUUCAAAAAAAAGAAAGGCAAUCCAAUUCUUCUUGGAUGGGGUGUAGCUCAAAGUAAGCUGGCAGUUGAAAAUUGAAGGUGGCUUGAUCUUUGAAUGAAGAAUAUGUUUGGCAGUUGAUGGCUGGAGGUGGAAACACAUUUGUUGCUAGCUAGGAGAACCCAUGAAGAUGUUUAGAAGUUUUUGCAGAAUCAAUGCAUUUCAUGGUACCAAAAACAAAUAAAUACCUCUUCUCAAGAAAUGUUUUUGCAUUUGAAACAUUUUUCCCCAUUGCUGAGGCUUUCCAUGAGAAGUAGGAACCUGAUGGAUCGACCUAGCCAAACAAAUACAAAACAUAACAUCAUCGAAAAUGACAAGAAAAUGAGAAAAAAAGAAGAAGAGAGAGAGCUUAAAUUGCAACAACAUUUGAUUCCGAGAGAAGUUUGGCCUGAUCCAACGGCAGUCAAUGCGUGCUCAAUCUGUACUGGCUUUCCGGUAGGACUGAAAGUAGUGAGAGAAAAGGAGUACUGGCUAUCACCCAUGGUUUAUUGCUUGAAGACGCAGAGAGGAAAAACUGAGAAUGCGAGCGUGUGGGAGAGAAAGGCAGGGAUAUUUACUUGGGGUUUUAACUUUGCUUUUCUCGUUGGAGAAGAAGGUGUUUUCUUACGAGGGCUUUUACAAUGGAGUAUAUUGGGCUUUUAUGACGGCAGGUUAGUCCUCUUUACAUUGAGCUCAGUGAAGGCUCGGAACCAGUUUUGUUUUUAAGAAUUAUUAACAAAUUUUAUUUAUUUAUUAAUAUACAUAAUUUUAAUUUAUUUAAUUACAUUUAUAUAUAAAAUUUUUAAUUUAUUAUAUUUUUUUGAACUAGAAAAAUAUAUUUAAAGAACUGCAUGUAUAAAUGUUUAUAAAAAAUAAAAAUAUUUGACUCACAAUAAAUCAUCCAUACUCUUAUAAAAAAGAUGAGUUGCUGCUGAAUUUUGUUGUUGAUUUGUAAUUUAAUUAUUGUUGAAGAUUUUCUGUGUUAGGUUUGGAUAACUUUAUUUGGAUUUAAUCCACUGAAACUGAGGUUUAAGAAUUUCUUGGAUUUAAUCCACUGAAACAGUUGCUUGAUCAAGAUCAUUGGCUUGUUUGUAGGCAGAUAAAGGCAUAAAAAAAAAAACAAAUAUCAUCUUAGAUUAAUUAUAGAUAUGAGUUACAGUAGUUGAAAUUUGAAAGGCAAUUUUUUUAGCGUGGCAUUUGGAGAAUUUAAGUAAGGAAUAAGCUUCACGUGAGCGAGUUAAUAUCACAGCUGCAUUUGAUAGAUUAAAUGAUAAGUAGGAAAUAAAAUCGAAUUACAGUAAAGUUUGAAUGAAAUCCUCCAUGUAAGUAAAGAGGUCACAUAGAGUAAAUAGUAAGGCUUACAUAUUAUUUACAUUCAACCUUAGCAAACACCAAAGCAAAUAAUUAAUACACUCAGAACCAAAUCUUUUACCGUAGAAGAAUUUACUUGUUCCUGCCGGUCCAACAGACUUCCGUACGUUGUGGUGUCCCAUAGAUAUGAUCACUAAAACGAAUGUUUGGGAUGUGAGAAAUCUUUUGCCAAUCUUCACCCAUCUCCUCCUUCCCGUAACGUUUCCUUAGAUUGGGGCACCUUUGUAUGUAUAAUUCCUGUAUAGGCGCUGCCAAAACAUAGUCUGGUAGUGCUCUCAACAACGGGCAAUGACGAAUUCUCAACUCUCGAAGUUGUGGCAUAAUGGAUAUUAUUGAAGUUGUGUUGGCAUCUUCUUCUCCCACUGAUCUCCUUUCAAUUCCAUCCCACUCUUCUACAUCUCCGAGAAAAAAAAACGUAAGUGUUUUUAAUUUGGGGAAAGCAGUGAUCCUUGCAAUUUCUCCUUCAUUAAUACUGGCAUUCUCAUCUUUUUCUAUACCUAAAAAUCCAGCAUCCAACCUUCUCACCUUCAUCAAAAUCAAAUCCAGGCUUUCAAGGUGGGGCAAUCUUCCCAACGGAGGCAAGACCUCCAGCUUUGUACAAUUAUCCAGUCUAAGCGCCUGUAAUCUGGUUAAUGUCAUCAUCCAAUUUGGCAAAUCCAACCCUCCGUACCCAUAUAUGCUUAGAUUUUCCAAGUCUGGCGGAGGCUGUAAAGCUUCAAUUAAAAUGCCGUUAUCCUGGUUGUGGUUGAAAUACAAUUCCAAACGAAGCAGGCGCUUCUUAUUCUUGAGUUGUGCUUCUGCAGCGUCACUCGCAUCUUCUUUACCUCCUCCUAGCUUCCGUAUCUCAAGACUCCCUCCAAUGUGAUUUAAGUCUUUUAAAUCUCUUAGAUUAGCUGCUUUACUUUCAUUCUCACCACCACCACACACACUAAACACAUCUAAUGUUUGAAGACAUGUUACCCUCUCUAUUCCCUUUGGUAUGAAGGCCACUCUUGAACCAUAAAUCCGGAGAUGCCUCAAUUUGAUAAGUUUUCCAAUCGCCUUGGGCAAUUCCUUGAGAGACCAACACCAAAUAACGUCUAGGGAUUGUAGAUUGCAUAAAUCACACAUGGUUUCUGGCAGGGACUCCAACUCUCCACAGGCUACCAAAUUGAGGUGUCUCAAAUGUAUCAAUUUCCCUAACUCCUUUGGUAUUUCUUUGAUUGAAGACCUUGACAAAUUCAAUGACCUGAUGCAUGUCAACUGUUUGAACAAAUCAGGCAGUGCAGCUCCAAGCGAAGGGUCUCUAGUGUCGAUCAAGAGGCUGCGAAGACCUUUUGCUUUGUGAAUGGACACGGGAAAAGAGGUCUCGUUGGGCAGCAUCAUGCUUAAAUGACGAACCCUUUCAAUUGAAGUCUCCAUUGUUGCUUCUCCAAGUUUACUGGCAUCCACUGUUAGACAUUCAUUUUUUGUCAUAUAUUGGGCAAAAUCAUGCACUAUAUCAUGCAUCUUGAAUCUAAUAUCUUCUCGACCAUACGUCUUAAAAUCUUGGAAGAAAGAGCGCGCUGCUAAGACUUGAAAGUACUGCUCUCCAAUAGCCUCCAUAUCUCCACCUGAAGUCUCCUUGAGGUAACCUUGAGCUAUCCACAUCUUCACCAAAUCAUAUUUGCGCAUCUCGUAGUCUUUUGGAAACAUGGCACAAUACAAGAAACAUCGUCUUACCACAGAAGGUAAAUCGUAGUAACUCAAAAGCAAAGAUAGAAAUAUUCCUCUUUCAACCUGAUCUCUAUCAACCUCAUCUAGCCCCCACAGUUCGCUAUAUAAAACACGCUCCCACUCUUCUCUUGUUCUUUUAAACUGCAUUAGACCUCCUAAUACCUUGGCAGCUAGCGGCAAGCCCUUGCACUUGUUAGCAAUUUUAUCACCGAUAUCUGUCAAUCUUUCACGCUCAUCUUUGCUUCUUUCCUGGAAUGCCACAUGAUUGAAUAUUGACAUGCAUAUCUCAUCAGACAAUUUCUCAACAUUGAUCUGGUGGUCAGUUCCCAUAAUCGUUGCCACAGUGCCCUUACGAGUGGUCACUAGAAUUCUGCUUCCUCGUGCACAGCCUGUGAAAGAUGGUUUCAGUUGUUCCCAUUGCCUAUGAUUGUCUGUCCAUACAUCAUCAAGGACAAGAAGCAACCUCUUUCCCUUAAUGGAUUCAGAAACCAUUUGCAAAAGGGAUUGCAAUUCAAUCAAAUUCGGUUCACUCCCUUGAAGCUGCUCAAGGAUAGCUUUUGCUAUUCUAACCUCAUCAAAUGGUUCUGAAACACAUACCCAUAUCUUUUUCUCAAAAUGAGCCGUUACCUCAGCAUCCUUAAAAGCUAGUUGGGCGAGAGUUGUUUUUCCAAUUCCGCCCAGCCCUACUAGAGUGAUGACAUCAACGUCCCGUGCUUCCUGACUACUUUCACCCACCAACUUGCUUACAAUAGUUUUCUUUUCAACAUCUCGACCAAUCACGCUUGAUUCAUCAACAAAGGAGGUACUUGUUAGUCGUUGUAGUUCAUCAGUGGCUCUGUACAGAUCAAAGCCAUACAUAACUCUCUCUUUGGCAAUGUCAUCCACUUUUUCACAUACUUCUUUGAUCUUAAAGGCAAUGUCGCGACGUCGAACCACUUGAUUGAGACAAAAGCGAGGAGAUCUCAGGAAGGAACAUCGUAUCUUCUGUAGGCUGCGAGUAUUUUCUUCAGCUUCCUCCAUUUUCCAUCUAAGAAUUGCAGUGCUCCAUUCAUCUAGCACGUCAUCCAUAUCAUAACAUGCAUCUUUGAGCUUGUCUACCCAAUCUCUUACAGCCUUAUCCUUCACUUGUUUUCUAUCUGCAUCUUCAAGGACAGAUUGGAUAGCAAGGAGAUUGCUUUUCAGCUUGUCACAUUGUUUCUUCACACCCACUACUAGGUUCACCUCUUCUUGUACCUAUUAGUGUACAAAGGAAAAGAAACGCUAAGCAUGGGAAACAUUUCUGUGAUUUCAAGACAAUUUCACACCCCCUACUAGGUUUACCUCUUCCAAUACCUAUUAUUGUAGAACAGACAAGGAAGUUCAAGCAUAGGAAACAUUUCUAUUUUGUAUUAAUAUAUUUUAUUGUGAAAUGGAUUUACUAUAUUAAUAUUUUAUAUAUAAUUAAUAUAGGCAUGAAAAGAGUUCAAUAUUCUCACGAGAGAAGUAAUAUUUCUCCUUUGAACCGACAUAAAAUCUGGUUUUCAUUUUACAUUAAACUAUAGAUAUAUGGAUGUAUAAAGGCAAGUGAAUAAAAGGAUCUGCAUGUAUAUAUUUGUGAAGUCAAUUUAGAAAUAAAGGCAUGAUAAUAAGAUUGUGUGAUAACUAUAUAGUUUUAAUUCACACCAAAUACUCACUCGCUAAUCCUUUGAACUUUUUAUUGAUUAUUUUACCUUUAAUAGUUCAGUUUAAAGAGAAUUGGCAACUCUUGUUUUGUCUUUUUUGGUUUUCUUAUAUUUGGAAUGAUAUAUUUUCUUUAUGUUAUUUUUAGAAAUAUAAAAAAUAAUAAAACUAGAAAAAGAAGUCUUUAAUAAAAUCGAAAUAUAUACUUGAGGAUUUAAAAUAUUAUUUUUAUUUUUUCAAGUUAAAAGUAUUCAUUUUAUGAGAGGAAGAUAAAAGGCUUGAACUUUAUAUAUAUUUCUUAUCUUUGCCAGGUAAAUCAGGUUAUUGCAGAUGGCAGAAAAAUACCUGUUGAGCAACGAUCGUGGUUAAGUGCUCCAAGAUCGGAGAUAGAAGUGCCUCAGCCAUCGUCUGUUUAGUUCUGAUUGGAGAGAGAGAAGCAGUGAUGAUAGGAAGACAGAGAGAAAGAGAGGGUGAAGGGAAGGAGGCGGCUGAUUGUGAAUGGAAGUUAGUUUAUAUACUUAGGGUUUGGCGUUGCAGGUGAAGCUUUUGUAUUUUAGUGUCUCCACAUUUUCUUAUUAGUAUUUGUAGGGACAGGGUAAAGGGAGAUCAGCGCACCUUGUAAUUUUAGCUGGCAGUAAACCUGAAGCAUAGUUUUAAAACCCGGACCGGCCCGGCGGGUCGAUCUGGGACCGGUUCGGGUGAAGGCCAAAACCCGUUUGGAAAUUGACCCGGCUAGACCGGGGACCUGGUUGACCCGGCAAGACCCGGUCUCAAACCCGUUGACUUUUAUUUUUUUUUGUUUUUUUUUUUUUGCUAAAACGACGUCGUUUUGAUUUUUUUUAAAAAAAAUAAAAAAUAAAUUUUGACCCGGCCGACCCGGUCAAGACCCGAUGACCAGGUCAAAACCAGGAACCCGGGCCUUGGACCGGGCCGACCACCGAGCCGGAUCUUAAAACUAUAACCAGAAGUAAUGAGAAAAUAAUUUUAGCCAGCCGGCCCAAUCUAUUUUAGGCUAAUAGUGUGUUAGGCAAAACACAUAUAAGCCUUAUCCCUUUAUUUUAUUAUUUUUUAUUUUAAUAUUUAGCUAAAUAAUUUUUUUUGAAAAUCAAAAAUCAUUAUGAAUGUUUUUGAAUUUAUUUAUGGGUUUCUUUUUUUAUUAUUAUUCAUUGUAUAUUUGUAUAUUUGAUUUUGUGGAUUUUUAUGGUGGAAUGUAAAUAUAGUAUACGAUACAUUUGUUUCUCUUAAAAAAAUAUGUAUGUUUUAAUUUAAAUUCAUUUUAUUCAUUAAUCUAACAACUAUGUAAGUUUCUAGUGACCUUAAGAUUUGUGAGACUGGAACUAGUAAUUUGAGGUUCAACAUCCCAGGUCGAGAAUUAGGUCUUAAUAUGGAAGGGUUAAUCUAGGUUAACCUAAUUUUUUUAAUAAAAAAAUUAAAAUAAUAUCGUUUUGACCGAAUUUUUUUUUUCCAAAAACAAAACUACCAAUAUUUAAACAAGUUUUACUUGAGUCUAUCGGGAUAUUUUAACCAGGUCAAACCAUAUUAAUUCUUUUCUUUAUUAUAUUUUUUUGAAGUUCUUACCUUUAUUACCAAAAAAAUCCCCUUAAUUUCAGAGUCCUUACAUCUCUAAUUAAUUAUAAUUACCUUACCAGUCAUAAUGUUCUUUUCUGUACCUGAUGAAUGAUAUUAUUUCUGAGAUUUUUGAACAUGUAAUGACGGAAGCCUGCGCUGGGCUGGUUCCCUUUGUUACGUUGCUGGAGUCGCAAUGUUUCGAGGUAUCAGACCAAAUUAAUUCUCUUGCUUUUUGCAGCAAAGCUGUAUCUCUUGCUACUUGCUAGAAGCGUAAUCUCAGGAUACCACUGUUUUGGUGUUGCCUCUCUCACCAUUGUUAUUAGGUUGAAUUAAAUACCAGAAGAUUUCUGAGUAUGCAAUGACUGUAUGAUUUAACUAACCAAUACACUAUCAAGGGUGUGGCGUAUGAACUUCAUGCGCCGGCGUGUGUCACCACCGUUCCACCGUGUGCCGUUGCGGCCUCCCCAUUGAAGGUCCAAUUUUCAAGCUCACAAGCAUGACAUCUUUAAACCUUACUUGAGGUUCAACAUCCUAGGUCAAGAAUUAAGUCUAGCAUGAAAGGUUAAUCCAAGUUAAUUUAAUUUUUUUUUAAAAAAAAAAUUAAAAUAACAUAGUUUUGAUUGAUAUUGAUUUUUUCAAAAAAAAAAAAUCCAACAAUAAUUAUAUUUUAACCAGGUCAAUUCAUAUUAAUUCUUUUCUUUAUUAUAUUUUUUGAAGUUCUUACCUUAAUUACCAAAAAAUAUCCACUUAAUUUUGAGAUAUAUUCAAUUUGGUUUUGUAAACAGUACCUUAACAUAUUUUGAUUGAAAUUGAUUUUUUUUUUAAAAAAACCCAACAAUAUUUAAAUAAGUUUUACUCGGGUCUACCAAGAUGUUUUAACCAGGUCAAGGCAUAUUAAUUCAUUUUUUAAAUUAAGUUCUUACCUUAAUUACCAAAAAAAAAAUCAGCUUAAUUUUGAGAUAAAUUAAAUUUGGUCCUAUAAACAGUACAUUUUAUUUAGUUGAUCCAUCGAAUAUCUGGUGCUAUUCAAUUCAAUUUAACCAAACUUUUAUUUGGUUGAGAAGAAUUUGACAAUCAGAAUCCUGUAAUAUUGAUGAUGGCUCUUGAACUGGAAACCAUGUUUAUAUCGCAGAUAUAUUCUUGGACACCAUUCAUAUAAAGGUGAACAAUUAAGCACUCUCAAAAACCAAAUCAUAGGGAAGAGCUCAUCAACUCGAGCGCCACCAGAGAUUUACAUUUGCAUGUGAGUUGGGAUGCAAGAAUCAAUGAUUCUUAUGAGGCUGAUCACACAAUUCUAUGUGAAUUUGGGUGCGCAAUACUUUUAAGGAGAGAACUCAUCCUAGUCCAAGCACAUUAAACUUCGGAAUUCUUAUGGCAUAAGGUGUACGAUACUAAAUACACAAGUCCUAGUUAAUAUCCUCUACCAUGCAAUGCAGUGGUUCAGUCGCACCAUUUCAAAUUGUUAUUAUGUCUAUAAUCUAUGUUCAGGUACUGCAAUCUAUCUUGAAUUCAUGGUCUUCACUUAAUAACAAGUUUGGUCUGGAGAAUCCUUUAACUUGAAAGGGGACUUGUCUUUUACUUGUAGAAAUGCCAACAUUAAAUUGUUAAUAUUAAAUUUUUUUCUAUUUAGUUAUUAAACUUUCAUGACACGGAUUCCGGGUUUGACAGGUUAACCUGGUUUGACGAGUUAACCCAGUUAAUUCUGGGCUAACCCAUUAAUUUGUUUUUUCCUUUUUAAUUAUCAAACUUUCACGAUGUGAAUUCAAGGUAUGAUGGGUUAAUCUGGUUUGAAAGGUUAACCCAAUUAAUUCAUAUUUUUUUUCUUUUUUUUCAUUAGUUUUUUUUUUCUGUUGGUUUUUUUCUUUGUUUUUUUCUUUUUAACUAAUCUAUUUAAUUAUCACACUUUUAUGACACGACCUUGCAGCCAGAUCUACGUCCAAUGCUAUUGGGUAUAGUAUUGUAGUGCAUACACUUUUAUGCUAAGAGUUAACCCAAGUUUAAUGUUAUUAUUAAUAUUAUAAAUAUUACUCUUGGAUCAGGCGUUGCAACUAAAUCUAAAAUUCUUGGAUAUAACUUUGUAAAAAAACCUAAUAUUUUUAGAUCUUGGCUUUUUUUUAAAUGUAAAAAAUAAUUAACCUAUGGCAUCGCGCGGGGCAUGUAACUAGUAAUUUCUAAAAGGAAACUCAUCCUAAACUUCGGAAUUCUUAUGAAUUAAGUGUACCAGGCUAAAUAUCCUCUACCAUGUAAAGUAGUGAUUCGGUCGCUCCAUUUCAAAGUAUUUUUAUGUCUAGAAUUUAUAUGUUUUGGUAACUUUUUUUUUUUUCUGGGUGUUCAUGGUCUUCACUUAAUAAAAGGUUUGGUCUGGAGAGUCCUUGAACUUAAAAGGGGCUGUGAUGGCAUUUGGAAGGCACACGUACUGGGGGACUUGUCUUUUACUUGCAGAGAUCAUAUCCAUUGGUGAACAUUUUUCGCGUUAGGUUUGGAUAACUUUAUUAUGAUUUAAUCCACUAAAUCAAUGUGUAUCAUGUUUAAAAAAGAAAAAAGAAAAAACAGAGAGAGAGAGACGAUGUGAGAAUAAAUGGGAAGUAGGAAAUAAAAUCCAAGUCAACAAUAGAUUACAAAUGAUUACAAUCCAAUUACGGUAAGGAGGUGUAUGAAACAAACGGUGCUUAAUACAACACUGAAUGAAAUCCUCCAUUUGAUUAUACCAGAAUGCCCUUCGAUUUGAUUCCAAAAAUAUGAAGGGAAAAUCUUCAAAUGCACAAAGUAAAUCGGAACCCACAGUGAAGUAGCUCUUCAGUAUCUUCUAAGCCCAAGCUGUCAAACACAGACCAAAAGCAAACGUGUCAUAACCAAAAUAACCCAAUGAAUGGUAGAUGUUAAAAUGAGCAUUCCAUUUUCUGAAUGAAAAAAAUCCCAGUGACCUAGCUAUGACUUACAUAAUUAAUUAAAAUGGAUUUGUUAAAAUAUAGUAAAAUAUUAUACCGUUAAGAAUUAACACUGGUAGAAGAAUUUGUUGGGCGGAAUCCAGCGAUCGGUGAUGAACUGAUUAUUACUUAACGGAGGGGCAAGCACACUGACAACAAUAUUUUACGUGGUUCGGCAAAAUCACCUACAUCCACGGGAGAGAGUCCAUUUAUUAGAGAUUAGAAAAAGGAUAUAAUAAAUAUAUAGAGGAGGAUCUAAUCACUCAACUCCCAUCUCUCUUGCUGUCCUUGCAGCUGCUGCAAUGGCUGCUGCCAUUGCAGCUCUCUUUUUCUCUCUAUCCUCUUACGUUUCUCACACACUCCUCACCAGAUUUAGCUCUCUUUGCAUGCUUCUUUUAUAGGCAAUGAAUGGUCAUCAUGGAGGGGCCAACAUGCCACCAUUAGUGGCACUAAUGGAGCAACCACUUGCUUGGUGGUGGUGGCCACUUGCUUGGUGGUGGGGGUAUUGCCAAUAAAUGGCAAUAUCCUAACAGAAUUUACAUGCUCCGUCCGGUUCUAAUUAAAGAGUUCUGUCUUUCUCACCUAUAAUAAUAUAUCAUGAAAAUAAAUGUUUGGGAUGUGAGAAAUCUUUUGUCAACCUUCACCCAUCUCCUCAUUCCCGUAACUUUUCCUUCGAAUGCGGCAACCACUUAUGUAUAAUUCCUGUGGAAGGGCUGCCAAAACAUAAAAGCUGUCCCGUUUAUGUUGGAUUAUGCAAACAUGGAGGUAUCUAUAUUGAUUCUGAUAUCACAGUCUGAAUUUAUUGUCUUCCGUUAGUAAAUCUAUUGGUCUGAAGAAUCCUCUGUCUGGAAGUUCUUUGAAUGGGGCUGUGAUGGCAUUUAGAAAGCACAGGCACCAGGGGGCUUGCCUUUCACUAGCAGAAAUCAUAUUUAUUGUUGAAGAUUUUUUGUGUUGGGUUUUGAUAACUUUAUUUGCAUUUAAUCCACAAAAUCGAUGGGUAUCAUCUCUUUUAGAUGAAUGGUUUAGCUUCCAAGUCUACCAUUCUCUCAUUUAUUUGGACUUAAUCCACUGAAACUGAGGUUUUAUUUGCGCGGAUAAUGAUAAUAUUUGGUGCUAAAUUUCUUGUUGUGAAUUGCAGAAAACAGCUGCUUGAUCUUCACUAGGAUGGUGGUUGCAAAUAAUAAUUAUGCAACCCGGUACGAGUUGCAUGUUAAAUAACUAGUGUAUAUGUAGAUACAGAUGAUGGUAUUUUUUUUUUAUAAUGACCCGUCCGUGUCGUUGUAAGAGGGGCCACCGUUGAUUGUGCCUUGGCCAUGGAGUGAUAUUCCACGCACCACCAACACUGUUCAAGAGCCACACGAACAUGGAGGAAUUACAGGGGCUGGCAGGGGCAGGGUCCUGCAAGGUUUUUUUUUUCUUCAAUAAAUUAGAUUUUUAUCUUUAAAAAUAUAAAAUUUAAAAUUUUGGCCCUCCCUCUAAAAUCUUUUAUCUAAUUUGACAUUCCCAAACUACAAUUCCUAACUCCGUUGCUUACUAUACACACGAAGUCAUUGUUUUAUGAUGAAAAAAUAAUAAAUUUUUUCUUCUUUUCUUGUAUUUUUAAAUUUUGGUUUUCUUUUAUCUUAGAUUUUAUGAAUGAUGAAUUCCAUAACAAGGAUGAUACAUGCCCAUUAAUCAUACAUGUCAUUAAUAACUUUAAAACAUAGACACCUAAUGGUGAAAAUUAUAGAUACAACCAUCAAUUAAAAAAUAAAAACAGCGAUUAAAUAUAUAAAAAAAGUAAUGGAAGUACAAGAAAUAAAAUAGAAAAAUUAAAAUUAGAGACACUUCCAUUGAAAAAUAUAAAUAAUUAGAGGCCCUGAAAACACUAUACACACACACAAGAUUAAGCGCAUUGAAUAAACAACAUGGAUUGUUGGAGUGGCUGUUUUUCCAGGCCUUGGUGAGGUGGUGCAAGUAAAUGAAUUCACACCAAAUACUCACUCGCUAAUCCUUUUCAACUUUUUAUUGAUUAUUUUACCCUUAAUAUUUCAGUUCAAGGAGAAUUGGCAACUCUUGUUUUGCCUUUUUCGGUUUUCUUUGUUAAAACUUCCUAAUCGUGUAUACGAGCAUAAAAGAAUAAUAAUAAUAAUAACAACAACAAUAAAAAUAAUUACUGCAUUAAUUUUUCUCGGAAAAUGUUUUGAUGGGCACCUUUACAUAUUUUCCAUAGAAAGUGUCUAAGAUGCUCUAUGAUAAGAUUUCAAUCCAAUUAAAUAUUUUACAUAUUCAUGGAAAAUCCUCUCCUUGAAUUCUUUUUGCCUUUAUAUCAUAAAUUUUUUAAAAAAACCCUAUUCAUGUUAAAACAAACUUUUCUAUUUUAAUUUUUAAAAAUAGAAUGUUUAAUAAGAGAUAUUAUUAAAUAAUCAUAUAAUAUUAUAAAUAUUAUUAUUAUGAAUUUCACUUUUCACAUGAACAAGAAAGUAUUGCAUUAAAAAUAUCUAAUGAUAAUAAAAUUCUCUUAUUAUACAAGGUAAUUAAAGUUUUUUUAACUCAAUAUAUGUUGAUCAAUACAUGGAUGUAAUUAUCCUGUUAUUUGUGGAUAUCAUUAAAUAAUUAGUAAAAAAAAUAGGUUUUCAUGAUUAGAAAAAUAAAGAAACUUUGAAAAAAAAGAGACAAAAAAAGACAUAAUAUUUAAUGUCUUUGAUUAUUUAUUUAAAAAUUGAUAUUUAUUAACAUUUUGAUACUAGAUAAAUGGGGGAUCUAAUCGGAAAUGUAUUUUGUCUGUAACCCAAAUGAGAAUAAAAAGAUAAUCGGAGGAAAAACAAGUUGUCCUUUUCCCAAAAUAAAAAUAAAAGAGAGGAUAUGGUGUGGACAUUGAGAAAACAAUCAUUUUCAAUAACAACUGAUUAUAGUCAAUUUCAUCCAAAUACUUAUCUCUUGGAAUGGUGUUUUUUUUUUUUUUUUUGUAAAAAAAUCAUUUCCUAUAAUAGUAUUCCAUGCUAAUACAAGAGUUCGGAGGUUUGAUAUAAUAUAAAUAUGAAUCACAUUAAUUAUUUAAUUCCAUCCUAAUAACUGAAAUCCUUUUCUUUUGAGUUCUAUGGACCUGAUCAAGGAACAUUAAUCAUGCAGGAAGAGCAGGCCUCCAUGCCCUUAUGCAUUGUUCUGAUUACAGUGGUAACCUGUUCAAUUUGAUCUUCGCUUGAGCAUGCUGAUAGAAGUACUUUGGCAGUUCCUCCAUCAGGGUGACAUCCAGCAUCGAUCAUUUCUUCAAAGAUUUCCAAGCAUCUUGCGUAUAGUUUCUUUCUAGAGUAGGCUCCCAAUCUUGAAGUCCAAGUCACAACAUCAGGUUUCAGAUUUUUGGUUGGAAGUGAUUGGAAAAUACCUUCCAUUCUCUCGAAAAAUCCUGCUCGUCCAUAUAUGUUGAUUAAGAUGUUGUAUGUACUGAUAUCAGCUCCAUAAGGUCCCUUUUCCAUUGCAGUUAGAACUUCCUCCAUCUUUUCAAAUUGGCCAAGCCGGCCAUACAAGUGCAUCAUGCUGUUGAGGACAAACGUGUCUGGUUCAAGCCCAGAUUCGCUCAUCUGGUUAACAAUUUCUUCGCAUUUAUCCACAUUUCUUGCCCUUGAGUAGGCACACAGAAGUAGCAUGUGUGAUUUCAUUGUAGGGGUUAUUCCUAGUCGCUUCAUCUCAUUGAAUACCGCUUGAGCAUCUAAAAAACAUGAAGGAGCAGCCAAAUCAUUAAGCCAAAACUUCAUUCAAGGAGCAUAUACGAAAAACAAGAGGAAUUUCUUCUAAGCAAGGAAAGGUGUCGCAAAUGGAUGAAAUGCUGAUAGCCUGAUAAUAUCUCAUACAACUUUAUCUUGUUUCCUAGGAAAUCUUAGAAAUAUUGUGGAAGAUCUCCAGAAUAAAAUUGAACACUGUUCCAAAAUAUAAUCCAAAUGUUGCAAUAUAGAUCCCUUCAAGUUCGUAGUUGAUCCGAACGUUUUUAAACCAUUACAUGCUCAAAAUGUUCCCAAAUUCUCUGGAGCUUAAUCUUUCCCCAAUUCUCACUUAAUAAAGUACAUUGAUACUAUUUGGUUCAAGCAUCUUACCCUCAUGAAGGCCAGCUCUCCCAUACGCAUCUACCAUGAUGUUAUAUGAAGCUCUAUCCGGCUCACAGCCCAUGUGCCGCAUGAGUGAAAAUAUUUCUGCAGCCCCGUAAGGAAAACCUGCACGACUGUUAGGACAAGAUAGUUAAAUAUCAUCAGUUCUAUUGGGAAUCUCUUGGAAGCAAGAAGCAGCACCUCCAGUAUUCUUUUCCAUUUUCUUUGAAAGAUUAUUGAAACACCAUAUCAUUCUAUGAUACUAACCUGUAAGCUUCCAUGAGCGCGUUGUAAGUAUACACAUCAGGCUCAAGCUUAUCUUCUUGCAUCUGCUCAAAUAUUUCUUCUGCCUUCUCACAGAGUCCCUCUCUAGCAAACGCGUUCACCAGAGCUGUGUAUGUGCAGAUAUCUGGUCUGCAUUUUUGACUUCUCAUUUCGUUAAACAACUUCAAGGCCAUGUAAGAUUGACUUGCCUGUGUACAGGAAAAAGAUUAGCAAAAUGAGUUUUUAAGGAUCCUAAACACCACUGUUGUCCAGUUAUCAGAAUUUAUAACCAUAUCCUUGAAUUUAGUCUGAUAAUUGUUUGAAAUUGAAUGCAUAUAUUUCAAGUUGUUUGUUGUAUCACUGUAGACUCGUAGACGUACGAGUUACGCAUAAUUUUCUACUGGGACCAGUGGCAUUUCAAGAAGAUCAGAUUUGCAGAAUAAUUCAGAGCCAAAUACCACUGAGCUUACCUUCCCAUGAAGGUUGAUCAACAGUGUAUAGGUGUCAGUAGAGGGCUGGCAGCCAUCAUUUUUCAUUCGCUGAAAGAUCUGAAUUGCUCUUUGAGGGUUUCCAGCCUUCGUUAACCCAUCAAUAUAAGCAUUGUAUACAAUUGCACCUGGCCAAAAUUAGAGUAUAUGCUCACUUUUCACUCAUAGAAUGUGCAUGCAAGUGUAUCAACUAUCAACAGAACAGCUUGAAAAACGAAAAUCUGAGACGUAAAUAAGAGAAUGAAACACAAAAGCAGAACUAAUGCCCUGUAUUUCACCACCACAAAAAGAAGAGAAAUAACCCACGCAAUCUCAUAAAGGAAAGCUACAGAAGCAAGUUUGUCAUCCAGGAGCCUCUAGCCUAAUCCAGUUCCGGUCUAGCUAAAUUAGCAAGGGGGUCCCUCUUGGUUUAAUCAACCAUUCUCUAAGCAUGGUGAUGUAGAUAAGGAGUAGUAAUCACUACUAUUAUAGUAGCAACAAGAAAUAUGCAGACCAUGAACCAAUCUUCUCUUUUCCUACAUUUAGUAUACUUCACCCCCGAAAAGAAAAAAGAAAUACAGCUCUGUGCAAUUAUUGAGCAAGGUUUCAAAAUUUAAAACGAAUUUAACCCCACAAAAAAUCAAUUUUUGAGGCAAAGAAUCUUACAAGUUGAGGAAAUUUUUGUUUUGUAAGAAAUGGUUGAUGUAGUCCAAUAACUUCUUGAAAAUACAAUUUCCCUAAAAGCUAAGAAGAAAUGAAUUGGUAAACACAUACUUGGAGGAAGGCUAUACUUUCGCAUAUCAACAAAGGCAGCUUCAGCUUUUUCUAACAAUCCACAUGCACAGUAAGCCUUUAUAAGAAGGGCAUAAGUGUCUUCAGUAGGGAUACACCUGGCUUGAAGAAGAUCAACAUAUGUUUCUUCUGCCUUCUCGUACAAAGAUUUUUGCCCAUAAGCAUCUAUUAGUAAAUUGUAGCACAUGACAUCUGUCUGGAAGGAGCUCUUGUACAAUAUCCAUUGACAUAUCUGGAAAUUUUAGAGUUACACCCAACAAGAUUAUUAAGAAUUAAGAACAAACGAUAUGAAAAAUGUCUAUAUAAUAAAUAGAGACAGUAAAGAGAUUUGUUUCAUUUAGUUGUAGGAAAAUGCUGGUAUAUGAGAAUUCCAAACACCAACUGCAGCACCAACCACUUAAAGGAGAUUUGAACAAUCGAGGAUUCAGUCUUAAUGGUUGAAGAGAAAAAUACUGUACAAAAAUCCUGCCACAAAAAUUUGUGCGUGCAAGGUGGUUUAAUCCAUCGCCUACCACCUUACACGAUGAAAGAAAUAAGGCACGAUUUACUCACCAAUGCAAUCGGAUCCCAUUGUUUAUUCAAACGAAGUUGGACGGCUACAUUAAUAAGAUCAUCCCAAGUCUCGUGAGUGACAGGAAGAGUAUCAAGAGCAGCCCAAACAUUAUUCGGAUCCACUUCUUUCCGCACAAAGUUCAGAAUCUGAUGAGCAACAGGACUUAGCACUGGGAAAAUUCCAUCAACAAAUCCAGAUCCAUAUUUCCAUCCUUGUCCCCUCAAAGAGCCACCUGGGUAUAAAAGAUGACUUAAUAAUUAAAGCCAUAUUUGCUUGAGCAGUUAUAUGUAUGAGCACAAAGUGAAUUACUCCGUAUUACAUCGUUUCCUGGACAUCUUUUUGUGAUCAAAGAUUCGCCAUUUGCCAUGUUUGUCGAUAUAGACCCUGUCGCUUUUCCACUUUUUAACAUCUCCACUACUGGAAUUCUUUUCUCGGCGUCUGAAAUGACCAUUCCGGAUUCUUGAUUCUAUAAAAAUAUGAUUCAGUGUGCAUCUAACAAGCAACCUGCAAACACUAAUCAAGUAAACACACAAUUGCCAGCAACAAAAUACACACCUCUUAAUUUAAAGCCAUUACACGGAGGAAGCAACCAAAUAAAAUCCAUAUAAAGGAUGCUUUAGACUUCAAAAUAAUUGGACAAAGAGAGACACUAAAACUACUUUUAAUCACAAUAGCAAACACUUGAAAUGCAAACCAGAAAACCUAGUUAAAAAAGAAGAAGAAAAGUAGUCAACUUUUCCUUUGUAAACCAAAUAUCUUUUCCCUUUCUUCCGCAGUAAUUCUUAACUGCUGUGAGUAUACGUUUUUUUUUCAUUACAGAAUCAAAUAUUAGUCUAAUCUAUCAGAUUAAACUACAAAAAUCAAAAUUUGCAAGAUAAACAAGGCCACAACUGUUGAAGACUGGUUAGAGUUCAACAACGAUAAGCAUAGCACUCUGACAGCUAAAACUGGUCCAUCAUCUUAUAACUUCUGAAGUCACAGUAAGACUUUUUAGAUAAUGAUGAUUGCUCGUUCAAUAUAUAUGAGAGCCAACAAAAUGCUAAAAUGUUUUAACUAAUAAGAACACAAAACAAUUUAGACAUACUCUCUCAAGUGAACGUUGAUACUUAGCAAUUCCAUUGAAACCCAUUUCCCAGAACAAUAAAUUCCAUGAAAAAGCAAUAUUAUCCAGCAAGAGGAGAAACACCAGAAUUGAAGUUAAUAAAUACAGAAAAUAACAAGGCAGCAUGAACAGCAUUAGCAGUGGCAUUGCAUAAGGAAAGAGAGGAAGGAAGGAUACGACUUACAUGAAAGCAUAAAAGAGGAGUUUGGAGUUGGGUAUCUGUAAACAUCCAGUAGGCAAGAAGAUAUGUGAAGAGUGUUUCUUGGAUAAUGGACUACAUGGAUGAAGACCAGCACUGCCAGACAAAAGUAGCUUCUGUUUUUUUCUGUUUACUAAGGGACAAAAGCCUCAAAAUAUCUCUAACGAACUUAAGGCGUCAAACAAUAGCGUUAUUGUAGCCUCGUGGUGUCUGAGGUUGCAUGGGAUUCUAUAUUGAGACAGUAGCUGAUAGCUAGAAUAAUCAAUUCUAAAAAAGUUUAUUUUUAAUAAUAAAAAAAGAAGAAGAUCAAAGGUUAAUUUGUUUAAACACAAUGGACAAAUUAUUGUCAUUAUUAUUAGUAUAAUUUAACAGCAGAUACUCCAGCAUGACACUUGUUGCAAAGACGAAGCUAUGAAGUGCCAAUUGAGUUGCAAUUCGACUCUACUAGCAGAAGUUUCCAUGCUAAAAAAGCGAAAACUGCUGUUAAAAUGGGUUAAAAGGCUUAUUGAGGUUGGGGUGAUUUUUUUAUUUUUUAAAAAAAUUAAUUCGCUUUUAUAUUUUCAGAGUUAAUAUUAAUUUUUUAAAAUAAUAAUAAAAAUAUCAUUUUAAUAUAAUUCCAAGCAAAAACAUAUUUCAAGGGCGAAACUUCCAUUCUCUUAAUAUAAACAGGGUUACGUCAUGCAUUUCCAUUUUUACAACAGUAGUUUUGGCUGCAAUUAGAUGGGGCAAAAUAAGCUAUAACUUUUGUGUGACUUGGAUCAAAUUGAAGAAAUAGAGUGUAAACUGAAAAAUUGAGGCAAGUACAAGGACCCAAAAAUAAAGUAAGCAUUUUAAUUCGAUAUCCAUAUUCCACGGUCCCUCUCUUUCCUUCUUCGGAGCUCCAUUGGAAUUAAAUGAGAACGGCCAUAUUACAGGUCAAGCAUUGAGAGGAGAUAAAUAUAAUUGAAAAGACCAAUUUUCUGCACUCUGUCAAACGUAUCAUAUAGGAAAUCAUAUUGAUGCAAAACUUUAGAAGCCAUCUAAGAUUGGAGAGAAGUUUUGUAACAUUUCCACAUCACAGUUCUACAAACAUGGAAUUAAUGGAAACUUCGGCUAAAAGCAACUGAUUCAAGCAAAUUCCAGAGGAAAGUAACACAAGUAUCUCGAUUGGUGUCAAUACUGGCAAGAACUCCACUUUAGCCAAAAAAUACAAUGUCUAUUCCACUUCAGCCAAAUAAUCAUCAAUUUCGGCUGGAGUUAGUACCCUGCAGUAAAGAAAGCACAAGGGAUAAGUUUGCCAUGGUCAUGCCACACAUAAAUUCUUCCAAGGAAGCUUAAACAUCCAAAGAAAUAGUGGAUUGGCCAUUUUGAACACGAGAUCCAUAUGUAAAUUGUCAGACUGAAACUAGAGCAAGGGUGCGUGAAAAUCAGAACUUCAAAACUGAAACCACAAGUGGAAGGCCAUAUAUGAAAUUGGUGAGAUCCAAAAGAUUUUAGAUAUCAGAUUUUAUCUAGUUAUGAACUGUGUUAACAAAAAUGUGCAUCCUGCAAGUUACUUCUGGAACUCAUCCUAAGCUUGAAAUUACGUGACACUAUUACCAAGUUUAACAAGGAAAAAGGGUACAAUUUCAAUGUUUUUCAAAGAGCAUGCCUGAAUUGACAUGCAAAGACACCUGGUACAGCUGUGGACCUUUGUCAUCAAAACCAGCGAUUAGUAAAGAUACUCCAAAAGGCCUUACACCUCUGCGAGGAAAAACAAAGGAUGAGUAUUUUCAAACUUCAAGAAUAAGAGCAUGAAGAGUUGACAUGCUGAUGCAGGAACAUAGGGAGAGAGUUGUUGGCCUAUUAGAAUAAGGACUAAGGUUAUGAACUUUGGAAAUUAAAAUUCAGAUCUAAAUUACAAAGGAAAUCAACUAAAACCACUGAAACACUUUGAAUGUAUAAAAGAUGUUCCAGUACCCAGAUUGAGUAAACUCUUGCAUGACAGCAGCAGUUUCCCUCACAAGUUGUGUGACAGGAAUUGGUUCCUACAAUCAUAAAAAUUCACAAGUUACAACCUUCCCGAUUAACAACAAAAGAUGACAAUGAAUUGAUAUAAAAUAGUAAUUGGAUAUUUAACUCUUGGAUUUCAAGCAAAAUUAAGCUGUUUUGGGGGUCAGAAUGGCAUUGUUGGGAAUAAGACAACUAAUAAGAAGUCUUGUAAUAUAGACAACCUCAAUACCUGCUUUCCACUUUGGACCUUAGCACGAAUAUCUAAAGGAAAUGUAAUUACCCCGACGCCUCCCCAGGCGGGUGAUAUCUUAUCUUAACCAGGUUAUCAAGCAUUAGACGAAUUAUAUACAUGAGUUUGUUUAGAGGCAUCAAAAGGAUGCACAUAUCCCAUUCAUAAGAUAAGCCAAGAAAAUUUAGCAACCUUAUCACUUAUCAAUGACAUGAAAAGAAAAGCUGAAGAACAAACGUGAAGCAAAAUAAUAAAGAAAAUCUUGAAGAUACCACCUUGUACAGUCUAUGAUAUUGCUCUGCUUGCUUCCUACUUUUCCGAACCAAAACUAGAAAGUCAGGACCCAUUCCACUGCAACAAAAUACAUGUGAUUCAGCACUGUUAAGAAAAAAGUACAGCAAAGCAACCCAUUUUGACAUAGGUAAUAAGUUGCACAAGUUAGUAAGAAGUGGCUCAUUGAGCAACCAAAUUGCCAAGAUGUCUUAUUUCAAACCCAAGUACAGAGGAACUACAUAUUUGUCCCCCUCUUUUUUUCAGUUGAAACAGAAACAGGGUACAUGUACAACGUGUUAAAGUCACGUCCAUAACCAGACCAAUUAAGAACAUUGACCUACAAGGAGUUCCACUGAAGUUCAGAUUAUAACAACAGGCAUGCUUCUAUCUCAAUUUACCACCCCGGGUCAAAUUUCACACUUAUCAGGACACUAUAACAACAGCAGAAACUAUACAAUUUCCCACCAAACAUAAAGAGAGCUUUGAAUCUACACACCCGCCUGCUACAAUCAUUCAUGACAGAUAUUUUAGCAAUAAUUAAGGCCAGAGAAACACAAGCUAAAAAAAUGGAACUUCCUAAUUACUGAGAAGCAGGCAGAAACAAACCUGUAGACAACUCCAAUAUUGGGUGUCAGAUUCUGUAUUUUCUGAACCUGAAACAAGAAGCAAUUAAAUACCAUCAACAACCAACUCAAGUUACAUCCCAUCUUGCAAAUUAGAAUAAUAGACCAAUAAACUGGCUUCAAAAUCAAACCAUCUCCACCUCAGUCAACACGAUUUAAAAUAACCAACACUGCCUUUUUAUACAAUGUGGGAUUAAAGAGGAUAUAAAUCUACACACUCCAACAUUCAAAGCCCCAAUCUUAGAGUCAUUGACUAGUAUAGUAACGCCUCAUUGGCAGGAACCCAAAUCACUAAGCUCAAAUUACUAAUAAAAAUUACAAAUUUACACCGAAUUUGAACAGAUUUCUACCAACCGAUGUCACUAAAGAAAACACAAAAAAAAAAAAACGCAAAAAACCAAAAGGGCUUCUUGAAUUUAAACCAAAGAAUAUAACAAAACCAAUAAAAAAAAUAAUAAAUGUUUACUUACAGAAGAUUCAUCGACUAAAAUAGAUGGCAAUUUCUUCUCAGUUGCAAUAACAACACCGUUUGCCGCUACAACACCAAAAAAAUAAUAAAAUCAACAACAUAAUAUCUAAGCACUCAUCAACAACGUAGUGCAUUCGAAAAUGACAAGAAAAUGAGAGAAAAAAAGAGAGAGAGGGAGCUUAAAUUGCAACAACCUUUGAUUCCGAGAGAAGUUUGGCCUGAUCCAACGGCAGUCAAUGCGUGCUCAAUCUGUACUAGCUUUCCGGUAGGACUGAAAGUAGUGAGAGAAAAGGAGUACUGGCUAUCACCCAUGGUUUAUUGCUUGAAGACGCAGAGAGGAAAAACUGAGAAUGCGAGUGUGUGGGAGAGAAAGACAGGGAUAUUUACUUGGGGUUUUAAGUUUUAACUUUGCUUUUCUCGUUGGAGAAGAAGGUGUUUUCUUACGAGGGCUUUCACAAGGGAGUAUUAUGGGCUUUUAUGACGGCAGGUUGGUCCUCUUUACAUUGAGCUCAAUGAAGGCUCGGAACCAGUUUUGUUUUUAAGUAUUAUUAACAAAUUUUUAUUUAUUUAUUAAUAUAAAUAAUUUUUAAUUUAUUUAAUUACAUUUAUAUAUAUAAUUUUUAAUUUAUUAUAUUUUUUGAACUAGAAAAAUAUAUUUAAAGAACUGCAUAUAUAAAUUUUUAUAAAAAAUAAAAAUAUUUGACUCAUAAUAAAUCAUUCAUAUUUUUAUAAAAAAAUAAAGAUGGGUAAACUCUUAAUUAGGCCUUGCUGCUGAAUUUUGUUGUUGAUUUGUAAUUUAAUUAUUGUUUAAGAUUUUUUGUGUUAGAUUUGGAUAACUUUAUUUGGAUUUAAUCUCCAAAAUUGAUGGGUAUCAUCACUUAUAGAUGAAUGGUUUAGCUUCUCUCAUUUAUUUGGAUUUAAUCCACUGAAACUGAGGUUAAGAAUUUCUUGGAUUUAAUCCACUGAAACAGUUGCUUGAUCAAGAUCAUUGGCUUGUUUGAAGGCAGAUAAAGGCUUAAAAAAAAGGCGAGAGGGAGCGAGAAAGAGAGGAUGUGAGAAAUAAUUAUAGUUGAAACAAAUGAAUUACAUAUCAUUUUAUGUUGAGGAGAGAGAGAGAGGAUGUGAGAAAUAAUUAUAUCAUCUUAGAUUACAAAUCAUUUUGAGAAAAUCUAAAAGAAAAUAUCAUCUUAGAUUAAUUAUAGAUAUGAGUUGCAGUAGUUGAAAUUUCAAAGGCAAUUUUUUUAGAGUAGCAUUUGGAGAAUUUAAGUAAGGAAUAAGCUUCACGUGAGCGAGAUAAUAUCACAGCUGCAUUUGAUAGAGUAAAUGGUAAGUAGGAACUAAAAUCGAAUUACAGUAAAGAGGUCACAUAGAGUAAAUGGUAAGAAUUAACACCAAAGCAAAUAAUUAAUACCCUCAAAAAAGUUCUGCCUUUCUCACCUAAUCAUAAAAAUCAAUGUUUGGGAUGUGAGAAAUCUUUUGCCAAUCUUCACCCAUCUCCUCCUUCCCGUAACGUUCCCUUAGAAUGGGGCACCAUCUUAUCUCCAAUUCCUGUAGAGGCGCUGCCAAAACAUAGUCUGGUAGUGCUCUCAACAACGGGCAAUUAACAAUCAUCAACUCUCGAAGUUGUGGCAUAAUGGAUAUUAUUGAAGUUGUGUUGGCAUCUUCUUCUCCCAAGGAUCUCCUUUCAAUUCCAUCCCACUCCUCUACUUCUGUGAGACCCUCCAUCGCAAGUUUUUUUAAUUUGGGGAAAGCAGUGACCCUUGCAAUUUCUCCUUCAUUAAUACUGGCAUUCUCAUCUUUUUCUAUACCUAAAAAUCCAGCAUCCAGCCUUCUCACCUUCAUCAAAAUCAAUACCAGGCUUUCAAGGUUGGGCAAUCUACCCAACGGAGGCAAGACCUCCAGGUUUUCACAAUAACGGAGUGUAAGCACCUGUAAUCUGGUUAAUGCCAUCAUCCAAUUUGGCAAAUCCAACCCUCCGUACCCAUAUAUGGUUAGAUUUUCCAAGUCUGACGGAGGCCGUAAAGCUUCAAAUAAAAUGCCGUCCUCCAGGUUGUGGUCGAAAACCAAUUCCAAACGAAGCAGGCGCUUCUUAUUCUUGAGUUGUGCUUCUGCAGCGUCCCUCGCAUCUUCUUUACCUCCUCCUAGAUUCCCUAUCUGAAGACUCCCUCCAAUGUGAUUUAAGUUUUUUAAUUCUCUUAGAUUAGCUGCUUUACUUUCAUUCUCACCACCACCACACACAAAAAACUGGUCUAAUGUUCGAAGACAUGUUAUCCUCUCUAUUCCCUUUGGUAUGAAGGCCACACCUGAACCAUAAAUCCGGAGAUGCCUCAAUUUGAUAAGUUUUCCAAUCGCCCGAGGUAAUUCGUUGAGAUAACAACACUGAGUAACGUCUAGGGAUUGCAGAUUGCAUAAAUCACAAAUGGUUUCUGGCAGGGACUCCAACAUUCCACAAAAUGCCAAAUUGAGGUGUCUCAAAUGUAUCAAUUUCCCUACCUGAUUUGGUAUUUCUCUGAUAGAAGACUCUGACAAAUUCAAUGACCUGAUGCAUGUCAACUGCUUGAAUAAAUCAGGUAGUGCAGCUCCAAGCGAAGAGUCUCCAGUGUGGAUCAAGAGGCUGCGAAGACCUUUUGCUUUGUGAAUGGACUUGGGAAAAGAGGUCACCGCUAAAUGACGAACCCUUUCAAUUGAAGUCUUCACUGUUAGACAUUCAUUUUUUGUCAUAUAUUGGGCAAAAUCAUGCACUAUAUCAUGCAUCUUGAAUCUCAUUCCUUCACGAUCACUCUUCUCAAAAUCUUGGAAGAAAGAGCGCGUUGCUAAGACUUGAAAGUACUGCUCUCCUACAAGCUCCAUAUCUCCACCUGAAGUCUCCUUGAGGUAACCUUGAGCCAUCCACAUCUUCACCAAUUCAUCUUUGUCCAUCUCGUAGUCUUUUGGAAACAUGGCACAAUACAAGAAACAUCGUCUUACCACAGAAGGUAAAUCGUAGUAACUCAAAAGCAAAGGUGGAAAUAGUCCUCUUUCAACAUGUUCUAGCUCCCACAGUUCGCUAGAUAAAACAUGUUCCCACUCUUCUCUUGUUCUUUUAGACUGCAUUAGACCUCCUAAUACCUUGGCAGCUAGAGGCAAGCCCUUGCACUUGCUUGCAAUUUUGUCGCCGAUUUCUGUCAAUCUUUCGCACUCAUCUUUGCUUCUUUUAUGGAAUGCCACCUGAUUGAAUAUUGACCUGCAUACCUCAUCAGACAAUUUCUCAAGGUUGAUCACGUGGUCAGUUCCUAUCAUGGUUGCCACAGAAUGUUUACGACUGGUCACUAGAAUUCUGCUUCCUGUUGCACCGCCUUUGAGAGAUAGUUUCAGUGGUUCCCAUUGUCUAUGAUUUUCUGUCCAGACAUCAUCUAGGACAAGAAGGAACCUCUUUCCCUUAAUUGAUUCAGAAACACUUUGCAAAAGGGAUUCCAAUUCAACUAAAUUCGGUGCACCCCCUUGAAGCGCCUCAAGGAUAGCUUUUGAUAUCCUAACCUCAUCGAAUGGAUCUGAUACACACACCCAUAUCUUUUUCUCAAAAUGAGCCGUAACCCGAGCAUCAUUAAAAGCUAGUUGGGCGAGAGUUGUCUUUCCAAUCCCGCCCAUUCCUACUAUAGAGAUCUCCACGUCCCCUGCUUCCUGAAUACUUUCGCCCAGCAACUUGCUUACUACAGCUUCCCUUUCAUCAUCUCGACCACGCACGAUUGAUUCAUCAACAAGGGAGGUACUUGUUAUUCGUUGUAGUUCAUCAGUGGCUCUGUACAACUCAAAGCCAAACAUAGCUCUCUCUUUGGUAAUCUCAUCCACUUUUUCACAUACUUCUUUGAUCUUGAGGGCAAUGUCGCGACGUCGAGCCACUUGAUUGAAACAAAAGCAAGGAGAUCCCAGGAAGGAACAUCGCAUCUUCUGUAGGCUGCGAGUAUUUUCUUCAACUUCCUCCAUUUUCCAUCUAAGAAUUGCAGUGCUCCAUUCAUCUAGCACGUCAUCCAUAUCAUAGCAUACAUCUUUGAGCUUGUCUGCCCAAUCCCUUACAGCCUUAUCCUUCACUUGUUUUCUAUCUGCAUCUUCAAGGACAGAUUGGAUAGCAAGGAGAUUGCUUUUCAGCUUGUCGACUUGUUUCUGCACACCCCCUACUAGGUUCACUUCUUCCUGUACCUAUUGGUGUAGAAAAGACCAGAAAGUUCAAGCAGAGGAAACAGUUCUAUGAUUUCACUACAAGUUUUUAAUUUUAAUUUUUGGGAAUUAAUAGAUUAAAUAAUUUUUAUUAAUCUUUUUUCCGCAUAGUUCACACGUACAGUGAAUUGGAUUGGCUAUAUUAUAAAUUCAUAUAUAAAAUAUUUAUUAAGAACCUAUAUAUUAAAAAUAAUAAUAUUUCUUUUUAUCAUCAUCAUGAUGAUAUCUCUGUCUGCACUCUGCUACUAUACAAGAAAGGAAAAAAAUGAAUCUUAAAUUGUUCGACGUCAAACCUGUAUAUAACAUAAGCUUGGCGGAUCAAAGAAAUAUAAAAGGAAUAAAAGGAAAGUGAAUAAAAGGAUCUGUAUUUGUUGUUAUUUGUAAAGUCUAUAAUAAGAUUAUGGAAGAAAAAAAAGACUUAAAUUUUUAUAUUUCUUAUCAUGUUACGGUUAAUUCGAUCAUUGCAAAUUGUAUAAAAGUAAUUACCUGUUGAGCAACGACCGUGGUUAACUGCUCCAAAAUUGGCGAUAAAAGUGCCUCUGCCAUUUGUCUUUUUGGUUUAAUUUUAUUUUUAAAAAAGAGAUAAUUAUGAUGAUGAACUGAGAGAGAGAGAGAAGAGUGUGAGGGGAAGGAGGCUGCUGGUUGUGAAAUGAAGAGAGAGGGUUAGUUUAUGUACUUGGGGUUUGGUGAUGAGGGUUGACUAUUGUUUCCAUCCCUGUACUGUUUCUAACAUUUCAAUUCAGUCCCUGUAUUAUUGAACGUUUCAGUCUAGUCUCGGUCAGGGGUUUCCAUCUGCGGAUGGCUUUUCCUGAUUGUAUGUUUCUACUGAGAAUGACAUGCCAUUUUGAGUUCCAAAGGUGAAACACUCGUGCUUUUCUAACUUUUCCUGGCUAAGGAUUAUUAUUUGUGGAAAGUAAUUUCUUCUUCGAUUUAUAGCAAUUAUUUUGGAUUGAUACUGACCUUAGGUUAAGAAUGCUGUAGUUUCUACUGAAAUGUAUCUGAUACAGACCUUAGGGACAACUGAUUAUAGCAUUCUUCUCGUCUGCUUCUCUAUUUCUUCUCUUCAUUUUAUGUUAUUCCACUAGUCUUCCAAACUGGAUCACGGUGAUAUAUAUCUGUCCAUCCAAACUAAUUUACCCAAACCAAAAGUAGUAACCAAUUAGCUCGUGUAAUGGAACUAUAAACAAGCAUCUAUCUUUCUGGGUUUUUGAGAUCAGGUGAUUUUAUCCUGUUUUCAUAGCAGGGACUGGGGUUUGAUAUUGAUCUUUGAUUUUACCCAAACCAAAAGUUUGAAAGGAUUGCUGGUUUGUGUGAUUGGAGCUCCUUUCAAUGGGUGUGAAAAGGCCAAGAAAUGAGCAAGAUUUUCUGGAGGAAAGGAUUCAUAUUGUCUGGACUCAAUCACCUUCCUUUCUUCUUCUUCUUCUUUCUGCAGGAAAAAAGUAGAGCAGAGCAACCCUUUUUGACAGAGGCUAGUAAGUUGCAGAAGUUAGUAAGAAGUGGAUCAUUGAGCAACCAAAUAGCCAAGAUGUCUUAUUUCAAACCCAAGUACAGAUGAAUGCCGUAUUUUUAUUUUUCUAAGGAACUGCAUAUUUGUCCCCCCACUUCUUCUUUUUCUGUUGAAACAGCGACAGGGUACGUGUACUCUAGAAAAUAUUUAGAAUGGAAACAAAUAGAAAGUAGCUUAAAAUUGUGAAAAUAUUGUUUUUAAAUUGUUUAUUUCAAACCUAAUUAAUAAUAUGUUUUUGUUUUAGAUAGUUUUUGUGAUUCUGAUUUGAAAAAAAAUAAGUUUUAAAAAAGUACAGCUAGCUGUGAUUAAUUGAAUUUAAAUACGUGUUUAAUAAAAAUUAUGGUUAAAGUUUAUGUAUAAUAAAAAAUAUGUAUAAAAUAUUUGAUAGUUAUGUUUGAGACUGUGGUUGUGAUUGUUUUUUAAAGUGUUUUUUACAUUAAAAUAAUAUUUUUUUAUUUUAAAAAAAUUAUUUUUGAUAUCAGUGCAUCAAAAUGAUCUGAAAACACCAAAAAAAUAUAUUAAUUUGAAAUAAAAAAAAAUUGUUUUUUACCAGUAAAUCAAAGUGUUUUUUACCUCAUUUUUCCUUGAUUAAUUCUAACUACGAAACAGCUACUGCACCAACAAGAUGGAAAAGGCUCACCAAGAUGUUCUCUUUGAAAAGAUUCUCAAUGAGUCGUUGACAUCUCAUACUUGUCUAAAAAUUUUAAUCUUUUUUUGGAAAAGAUUCUCAGUGAGUCUGUCUCCUGGCUUAUUGAUCAACACUUUUAUCAUAUUGUGAACAAACAUGUCAAUUUCCAGAAUUUUAUUGAGUAGGAUGACUGUAUAGAAUUACUCUGAUUUAUCAACACAUAUCAAAUUCUUGCUGCUGCUGAGGAAGAUAUCCUGCACUUAGCCAUCAUAGAGGGUAGCAAGGUUUUGUGUUGAUGGUAAUUACACUGACUCAUCGUCUAUCAUCUAGAAUUCAAUUUUAAAAAAUAUUGCAAGAAAUGUUUUUUUUCCUAAAUACAUCGAUCGGGUGUGGAUAGAUUGAUUACAAAGCGACUUCCUAAAAAGUCUUGGUCUUAAUAUGCAAAGAUGAUCCAAGUAUGCCAUAUAUUAUUUUUUUAAAAUAAAACCCACAUAUCUAGUCCACGCAAAGGUACUCGAAUAUGGAUUUGUAAAAAUAAAAAUGAAUAUUUAUACGAAAUUGAAUUGUGCAAAUAAAACCCACAGAUCUAGUCCAUGAUCUACGGCUCCUCCAGAGUUCCGUAGUGGUGUCUUUCUCAACUAUUCUUUAAAUAAAAUGUUUGGGAUGUGAGAAAUCUUGUGCCUAUCUUCACCCCUCUCCUCCUUCCCGUAACGUUUCCUUAGAGAAUUUAUGUAGAGGCGCUGUCAAAACAUAGGCCGGUAGUGCUCUCAACAAUGGGCAUUUGAGAAUUCUAAACUCACAAGUUGUGGCAUGAUGAAUAUUGAAGUCGUGGUGGAAUCUUCUUCUCCCACUCUCCUUUCAAUCCCAUCCCACUCUUCUAGUUCUUUGAGAUGCCAAAUGCUGAGUUUUUUCAAUUUAGGGAAAGGAGAGUGGUAGUUUUUUCAAUUGGGGCAAUACUCUUCCAAUUCUCUUUCACUAAUAUUUAUUGGUGGAAAAAAUCACUGAUAGUAGUUUUAAAACACUCAAAGAAAAUAAAACAUAUUGUUUUAUUUCAACAACAAGAAGCUUACAAUAAUUAAACAAAAGCUUUUAAUACACACCCUCUUUUUCUCUCUAGUGUUCAUCUCUUAUCUUUCCCACACACAAUUACAUAAACUUACCUAUCUAUUUAUACACAAAUUAAAAGUAAAAAAAAAAAAAUCAAACUUCAAGUGUGAAGGCGGCUGGUGGCUAAACAGUGGGGUCCUUUUGUAUUUUGUCAAAAGAGAUGAAAUUAUAAUCAAUGAUGAUGAUAUAUAUAUAUAUAUAUAUAUAUAUAUAUAUAUAUAUAUAUAAACUACUAUGUGCAUUCUAUAAUUUAGUUAUAUAAUACAAUAGAUCUUUACAAUUAGUGAUUUCAACUUACCAAUAGAGAAAUUAUAGUAGAUCUUUACUAUGAUAUAUUCAAAAUAAAUAAAUAAAACAGGUAUACUUCAACACGCAUAUUAUACAUACACUUCUUUUUUAAAAAUUAAUCAUAAAAAAUUGAUUAGUUAUUUAUUAUAAAAAUCAGACCUGUAAGUUAUAUCUAAAUCAUUGAAAAUAGUAAAGGUAAACUAAUUAGAAGAGACAAUGUAUUUCAAAUUAGUUAAUUUAUAUAGAAUUAUUUUAGUUACUAAAUUAAAAAAUUCAAAUUUUUAUAUCACUUGGAAUACAUAAGGUGGAUUUAAUCCACAAAAUCGAUGGGUGAUAACCUCUAAGAUAUCGAUGGGUACAUAUAUGGUGGAUUUAAUCCACAAAAUCAAUAAGAGACCAAUCGGCUAGCUCCAAAAUCAAACCAUCUCCACCUCAUUCAAACACGAUUUAAAAUAAUCAACACCACCUUUUUAUACAAUGUGGGAUUAAUGAGGAUAUAAAUCCAAGGCUCCAACAUCCAAAGUCUCAAUCUUAGAUUUAUUAGCUAGUAUAGCAACGCCUCAUUGGCAAGAACCCAAAUCACUAAGCUCAAAUUACUAAUAAAAAUUAUAAAUUUUCAGAUAAUAUUUUUAAUAUUUAAUCUUUCUAGCAAUUGAUGAUAGCAAUUGCAAAUGAAUAGAGGAGGAAGCAUCGAGAUCAUUGGCUUGUUUGAAGGCAAAUGGACCCUUUGAUCGUUAGAUGAUGCAUCUAAAUGAGGCUCCACAUUAUAAAAGCGUAAUUAGGUGGCACGCGCUAUCCCACAAACUCACCUUAGAUUUUCAAAAUAAAAUUAGAUGGAGGAUCCAUGUCUAUUUGGGUCCUCCCUAGACAGGACCCCAACAUAUUCGGGUCCAGUAACGACCAGGUCCAAGUCUAGCGUUGGGCUAGGUUGGGUAGGACCCAAGGUUAUUUGGGUGUACCUGGCAGAAUCCAAGAUUGUUUUUGAGUCCUGCAACUAAUAAUUAUAUGUAAUUUCUAAAUGAAACUAAAUGUAAAAUUAAAUAUAAUUUGAUAAAAUUAUUAUAAACAUUUGGUAAAAUUAGUAAAUGAUAUAACAUUUUCUUUCAAAUUCAUCAAUUAUUUAAAUAUUAAGUACAAAAAAUACUCUUAUGAAUUUUGAUAAAAAUAAUAAUAUUUAUAAUACAACUGAUAACAUUUUUAGUAUUAAAUUAUUAAUUAAUAUAAAUAAUAUUAUUUAUAACACCAAAAAUAAUAAUAUUUUUGAGAUUAAUACUAUUAAUUAGACUAAAAAAUAAUAUUAAUAAAACAAAUAAUAAUAUUUCUAAUACUAAUACUAUUAAUUAUACUAAAAAUAUAUAUUAAUAAAAAUAUAAAAUACUCUUAAUAUUAAUUAUACUAAAAAAAUAUUAAUAAAACAAAUAAAUAUUUUAAUACUAACUUGUAAUUAUACUAAAAAUAUGGGCAGCCCAAGCGCUAAGUGAUGCUUGGACUACACUCAAGAGAAAUCAUAUUAUUUUAAAAUAUUUGUCCACUAAUUGCUAUUGAAUUUAAAAUAAAUAUACUUUUAAAACUAAUAUAAAGUUACCAAUAGUCGAUUUGAUAGCUGCUUGCAUAAAAUCUCAUUGAAUUUGGCCAAUGGUUUUUUAGAAUAAAGUAAAAAAAAAGUUAUUUCAAAACAUAACCAAAGUAGUUUUAGUUAUUUGUCAGAAACUAGUAUAUCCCAUAAAAAUCAGAGUUUUGGAUGAAAUAAAAUCAAUUCUAAAAUCAAACGCCGAUUGAAGCUUCAACGCAUUUGUGAACUAGAGAAUUUAAUUAUUAAACUCGUUUGUUUCGCGUUCAAAAAUAUUUUAAAAUUAUUUUAUUUUUUAUUUAUUUUUUUGUUUUUUAAAUUAAUAAUUUUUUUAGUAUAUUUAGAUCAUUUUAAUGUGUUUAUAUAAAAAAUAAUUUAUAAAAAAUAAAAAAAAUUAUUAUUUUAAUAUAUUUCUAAUAAAAAAUACUUUGAAAAAUAAUUAUAAUAAUACUGUCACACAUGCUGUUUAAUGUUUGUUCAAAAAUUGUGCUUUUUAAAAUAUGCAUUCUAACGCAAAGAAAGCAUAUAAAACACAUCAAAGUUGCAAAAGUACGUAGUUUUAAUUAUUAGCAAAAGUAUUCUAAAAUAUGAAAAGAUAGGUUUAAAUACCCUAAAUAUCCGUAAAUAACUAGAAAAAAAUUAAUAAAACUAAAAUCCAAAAUUAUCAAGGCAAAAAUCUAAAAUAUGGUCUGAAACUUCAAAGGCAAUUUUUUUAGAGUGGCAUUUGGAGAAUUUAAGUAAGGAAAAAGCUUCACGUGAGCGAGAUAAUAUCAUCUUAGAUUAAUUCUUUAACAUGUAAAAUUUAAGUCUAAUUCAAUAAUUAAAUAAAAAAUUACCUCUUCCUGCCGGUCUUAACUAUUCUUUAAAUAUAAACAUAUGAAUUACAUAUUAUUUUAUAUAUGUUGAGAGAGAGAGAGAGAGAGAGAGAGGAUGUAUACUAUAUAUAUCACAGCUGCCUUUGAUAGAAUAAAUGGUAAGUAGGAAAUACAAUCCAAAGUCAACAUUAUACAGUAAAGAGGUAUAUGAAACAUACCUCGUCCUGCCUGUCCUACAGAUUAUGGUAAGUCGGAAAUCGAAUUACAGUAAAGAGGUCACAUAGAGUAAAUAGUAAGGCUUACAUAUUAUUUACACUCAACCUUAGCAAACACCAAAGCAAAUAAUUAAUACACUCAGAACCAAAUCUUUUACCGUUAAGAAUUAACACUGGUGGAAGAAUUUAUCAUCAAAAUAAAUGUUUGGGAUGUGAGAAAUCUUUUGCCAAUCUUCACCCAUCUCCACCUCCUUCCCGUAACGUUAGAUUGGGGCAACCAUAUGCGUAGAUCCUGUAUAGGCGCUGCCAAAACAUAGUCUGGUAGUGCUCUCAACAACGGGCACCAACGAAUUGUCAACUGUCGAAGUUGUGGCAUAAUGGAUAUUAUUGAAGUUGUGUUGGCAUCUUCUUCUCCCACUCUCCUUUGAAUUCCAUCCCACUCUUCUACUUCUUCGAGAUCCCAAAUCUCAAGUUUUUUAAUUUGGGGAAAGCAGUGACCCUUGCAAUUUCUCCUUCCUUAAUACUGGCAUUCUCAUCUUUUUCUAUACCUAAAAAUCCACCAUCCAGCCUUCUCACCUUCAAAAGUACCAGGUGUUCAAGGUUGGGCAAUCUUCCCAACGGAGGCAAGAACUCCACGUUUUCACAAUAACGGAGUGUCAGCACCUGUAAUCUGGUCAAUGUCAUCAUCCAAUUUGGCAAUUCCAACCCUCCGUAACAAUAUAUGCUUAGAUCUUCCAAGUCUGACGGAGGCUGCAAAGCUUCAAUUAAAGAGCCUUCAUGCUCUGGCAACACUGUUUUCUCUCCGAAGAAAUUCAAUACCAAACGAAACAGGCGCUUCUUAUUCUUGAGUUGUGCUUCUGCAGCGUCACUCGCAUCUUCUUUACCUCCUCCUAGAUUCCGUAUCUGAAGACUCCCUCCAAUGUGAUUUAAGUUUUUUAAUUCUCUUAGAUUAGCUGCUUUACUUUCAUUCUCACCACCACCACACACAGUAAACACAUCUAAUGUACCAACAGGUGUGUGGCUCAAGUGGUGAAGGGGGCAGCUCUCCUUUCAUCGAACCCAGGUUCGAAUCCCAGUGGGAGUGGGGCUGGAGAGUUUGCUCUCUUCCUAUUUCUCUUGGGUCCUCCCUGUGCGGUAUCCCUGUCACCCCCGCGGUGUCUUACCUGCUCACUAGGGCUUGCAGGAUGUUCAGUGGGCCGUGGGAUUAGUCGUGGUGCGCGUAAGCUGGCCCGGACACCCACGUUAUCAAAAAAAAAAAAAAAAAAAAAAAAACACAUCUAAUGUUUAGUUAUAUAAUUGAUCAUCGUGGCUACAAAAUGAAGUGGAACUAAUAAUUAAUGGAGUGGAAUACUAAAUAAAAUGAAUUGCUAUGUGUAUUCUAUAAUUUAGUUAUAUAAUAUAGGCAGAUAUGUACAAAUUAGUCAUUUCAACUUAUCAAUAAAGAAAUUAUAAUAGAUUUUCACCGUGGUAUGAUCGCAAUAAAUAAAAUAAAAUAGAUAUAUCUCACAGCAUUAAUAAUUUUUUAGUUUUUGUUAAACAAUGUCAACAUAUAUAUAUAUAUUAUACAUACACUCAUUUCUUUAAAAAUAAUUAUAAUAAAAUUAAUUAGUUAUUUAUUAUAAAAACCUGACCUAUGAGUUAUGUCUAAGCUGUUAAAAAUAGUAAAAAUAAAAUAAUUUGAAAAUAGAAUUAUUAAUUAAUUUAUAUCAAGUUGUUUUAUUUAUUAAAUUAAAAAAUCCAAGUUUUAUAUCACCUAGAUUACUUAUGUUGGAUUUAAUCCAUAAAAUUGAUGGGUAUCAUCUCUUAUAUAUGAAUCGAUGGGUAUCAAGUUACAUGCCAUCUUGCAAAUUAGAAUAAUAGACCACUCGACUGGCUCCAAAAUCAAACCAUCUCCACCUCAUUCAACACGAUUUAAAAUAAUCAACACCACCUUUUUAUACAAUGUGGGAUUGAUGAGGAUAUAAAUCUACAGACUCCAACAUCCAAAGUCUCAAUCUUAGAGUUCUUAUCUGGUAUAGUAACGCCUCAUUGGCAAUAACCCAAAUCACUAAACCCUAAAUCACUAAUAAAAAUUACAAAUUUACACCGAAUUUGAACAAAUUUCUACCAGCCGAUGUCACUAAACUCAAAUUACUCCUAAAAAUCUCAAUAUAAACCCAUUAACUACUAGACCAACAACUCAUUGGCUAGAAUCCACGUUGCUUUUCCACAACAAUCAUCAGCUUCUUCAAUUAGGAUGCUACAAGCCCUUGUCUAUAUACUAGCUUAAAUUGCAACAACCUUUGAUUCCGAGAGAAGUUUGGCCUGAUCCAACGGUAGUCAAUGCGUGCUCAAUCUGUACUAGCUUUCUGGUAGGACUGAAAGUAGUGAGAGAAAAGGAGUACUGGCUAUCACCCAUGGUUUAUUGCUUGAAGACGCAGAGAGGAAAAACUGCGAAUGCGAGCGUGUGGGAGAGAAAGGCAAGGAUAUUUACUUGGGGUUUGAACUUUGCUUUUCUUGUUGGAGAAGGAGGAGUUUUCUUACGAGGGCUUUUACAAUGGAGUAUUUUGGGCUUUUAUGACGGCAGGUUGGUUCUCUUUACAUUGAGCUCAAUGAAGGCUUUAAUUUUUUAAACUUAACUUUAUCCGGGUCAGUUCACGGGAGAAGUUUAAUUUUUUUUUUUUUAAGAAAAUAAAAUAACAUUAUUUUUAGUACUUUUUUAAAAUGAUAUUUUACCUGAGUCCACAGGCGAUGUAUAAAGUUUUUUUUAUUUAAAAUAAUAUUUUUUUUUUAUUUUAAUAUUUACUUACUAUUUGUAUACUAAAACAGUAAAACAUGUGAGAUUUUCACUUUAUAUUUGUUACUGUGCAAAAUUUUAUUUUUUAGUUUAGUCCUCAAACUUUAUUUUUGAACUAUCAAGUCCUAUUUAAAAAACAAUUGAUUUUAAAUUCUGAUAAAAAAUUUGGAUUGGAAGAGAGGAACUGAAAUGAAAAACACGAUAGAUAUGGGUAACGCACCUUAAAUUUUUAAAACAUUCUCUUUGGUCUUCCAACUUAAACAAUCACACAAAUUAUAUAAUUUUGGUACCUCAAAAUUGUUCCAAUUCCAUUUUGGUGCGAAGAUUUAUUUUUGUUAUUUUCUAGUUCCUAAUUAAGAGAGGAGAGAAAGAAAGGGGUCACUAGAUUCCAAUAAUAAAAAGAGAAACUUGUCGUUGACACCAACUUAAACCACUAAAAUAAGGGAUCUUUAUGUCAAAUUAUUAGGGGAGUUCCUAUUAGAUGUUUUUGUAACUUAAAAGUUCAUGAAAAAAAGGAUCUAAACUCGGGUUAAUUUUUUUUAUUUUAGACUGUGUUUGGUUUUUUAGGCAGUUUUUUGGAUCUAGUAUGGUUUCCCGAUCCAAGUACCUAGGGUCUGGCAUAGUUGCUAUAAAAAUAUAACUUUAAAGAAUAUAAUUAAAAACAAAUAAAGUGACGUGAUUAGUUAAAAACUAAAAAUAAUAAUAAAAAAAAAGACUUAACCUCAUUUUUUUGUUGUUCAGAAGGCUUCUUUUAAAUAAUAUUAAUUUUUUUUAUGAGUUUAAUUUUCAGAGAGGUUUUCUAGUGUAUUUAUGGUUUUGUUUGUCUUUUAUAUAAAUAAAUUAUAUUUUGAAAAUAACAAAAUAUUUAUUUUCAGAUAAUAUUUUUAAUAUGUAGUCUUCGUAGUGAUUGAUGAUGCCAAUUGUAAAUGAAUGGAGGAGGAAGCAUCAAGAUCGUUAGCUUGUUUGAAGGCAGAUAGACCUUUGAUCAUUAGAUGAUGCCUCUAAACGAGGCUCCAUAUUAUAAAGGCAUAACAAAGAGAGGAUGAGAGAAAUAAUUAUAGACCAGUUAGGUGGUUUGUGCUACAUCGCGGGCUCACCUUUAAUUUCUAAAAUAAAACUGGGUGAGUACCCAAGUCUAUUUAGGUCCUUUUCAAAUAGGAGCCAAGCAUAUUUGGGUUCUAUCGCGGCCAAGCCAGGUAGGACCUAAGGUUAUUUGGGUCAUGUACCUGGCAGGACCCAAGGUUAUUUUUGAGUCCUACAACUAAUAAUUUGUAUUUAAUUUUUAAAUAAAACUAAAUGUAAAAUUAAGUAUAAUUUGAUAAAAUUAUUAUUACAAUACAUUUGGUAAAAUUAAUAAAUGAUAUAACAUUUUCUUUCAAAUUCAUAAAUUAUUUUAUUAAUAAUAUUAAUUACAAUAAAAUAUACUCUUAUAAAUUUUAAUAAAAAUAAUAAUAUUUAUAAUACAACUGAUAAAAUUUUUAGUAUUAAUAUUAUUAAUUAAUAUAAACAUAAUAUUAUUUAUAACACCAAAAAUAAUAAUAUUUUUGAGAUUAAUACUAUAAAUUAGACUAAAAAAUAAUAGUAAUAAAACAAAUAAUAAUAUUUUUAAUACUAAUACUCUUAAUAUUAAUUAUACUAAAAAAAACUAUUAAUAAAAAAAAUAAUAUUUCUAAUACUAAUAUUUGGAAUUAUACUAAAAGUAUGUACGGGCAGCCCAAGCGUUAAGUGGCGCUUGAACUGCACUCAAGAAAAAGCAUAUUAUUUUAAAAUAUUAUUUGUCCACUAAUUGCUAAUAUAAAUACACUUUUAAAACUAAUAUAAAGUCACCCAGAGUCAAUUUGAUAGCUGCUUGCAUAAAAUCUCAUUGAAUGUGGCCAAUGUUUUUUAGAAUAAAGUGAAAUAAAAAGUUAUUUCAAAACAUAACCACAGUAGUUUUUAAUUAUUGGUCUAGAAACUUUAGUAUAUCUCAUAAAAUCCAUGAGUUUUGGAUGAAAUAAAAUCAAUUCUAAAAUCAAACUCCGAUUGAAGCUUCAACUGCAUUUGUGAGCUAGAAAAUUUAACUUAUUAAGUUAGGUUUGUUUUUGCAUUUUAAAAGCGUUUUUAAAAAUUUUAAAUUUAUUUUAUUUUUUUCUUUGCUUUAAAUUAUUUUUUUUUUGUGUUUUUAGAUCAUUUUGAUGCGCGAAUAUCAAAAAUAAUUUUUAAAAAAUAAAAAAAAUAUUAUUUUGAUAUAUUUCUAAGUAAAAAUCAUUUUAAAAAGUAAUCACAACAAUAUUUUCACACAAUCUCUUCAAAACUUGUGCUUUUUAAAACAUGCAUUCAAACGCAAAGAAAGCAUAUAAAACACAUCAAAGUUGCAAAAGUAUGUAGUUUUAAUUAUUAGCAAAAGGGUUUAAAUACCCUAAAUAUCCGUAAAUAACUAGAAAACAAUUAAUAAAAAAAUAAUAAAACUAAAAUCCAAAAUUUUCAAGGAGAAAAUCUAAAAUAUGGUCUGAAAUUUCAAAGGCAGCUUUUUUAGAGUGGCAUUUGGAGAAUUUAAGUGAGGAAUAAGCUUCACGUGAGCGAGAUAAUAUCAUCUUAGAUUAAUUUUUUUAACAUGUAAAAUUUAAGUCUAAUUCAAUAAUUAAAUAAAAAAAAUUACCUCUUCCUGCCUGUCUUAACUAUUCUUUACAUAUGAACAUAUGAAUUACAUAUUAUUUUAUGUUGAGAGAGAGAAAGAGAGAGAGAGAGAGAGAGAGAGAGGAUGUGAGAGAGAGAGAGGGGUGUAUAUAUAUAUCACAGCUGCAUUUGAUAGAAUAAAUGGUAAGCAGGAAAUACAAUCCAAAGUCAACAUUAUACAGAUAUUUGACUCACAAUAAAUCAUCCAUACUCUUAUAAAAAAUAAAGAUGGGUAAACUCUUAAUUAGGCCUUGCUGCUGAAUUUUGUUGUUGAUUUGUAAUUUAAUUAUUGUUGAAGAUUUUUUGUGUUGGCAACCCAAACUAUCAUUGUGUUGGGUUUGGAUAACUUUAUUUGGAUUUAAUCUCCAAAAUCGAUGGGUAUCAUCACUUAUAGAUGAAUGGUUUAGCUUCUCUCAUUUUUUUGGAUUUAAUCCACUGAAACUGAGGUUUAAGAAUUUCUUGGAUUUAAUCCACUGAAACAGUUGCUUGAUCAAGAUCAUUGGCUUGUUUGAAGGCAGAUAAAGGCUUAAAAAAGAAGAAGCAAAUAUCAUCUUAGUUGAAAUUUCAAAGGCAAUUUUUUAGAGUAAAGAGGAAAUAAUUAAUACACUCAAAGCAGGUUCUAAAGAGUUCUGUCUUUCUCACCAAACAUGCAAAUAAAUCUUUGGGAUGUGAGAAAUCUUUUGCCAAUCUUCACCCAUCUCCUCCUUCCUACAGCUGUAACGUUUCCUUAGAAUGGGGCAACCCCUUAUCCCCAAUGCCUGCAGAGGCGCUGCCAAAACAUAGUCUGGUAGUGCUCUCAACAAUUGGCAAUAUUCAAUUCCCAAGUACUGAAGUUGUGGCAUAAUGGAUAUUAUUGAAGUUGUGUUGGCAUCUUCUUCUCCCACUCUCCUUUCCUUCCCACUCUUCUACUUCUCCGAGACCGUCCAUCCAAAGUUUUUUUAAUUUGGGGAAAGCAGUGACCCUUGCAAUUUCUCCUUCAUUAAUACUGGCCUUCUCAUCUUUUUCUAUACCUAAAAAUCCAGCAUCCAACCUUCUCACCUUCAUUGAGCUCAAUACCAGGCUUUCAAGGUUGGGCAAUCUUCCCAACGGAGGCAAGACCUCCACGUUUUCACAAUCACGGAGUGUAAGCUUCUGUAAUCUGGUUAAUGUCAUCAUCCAAUUUGGCAAAUCCAACCCUCCGUAGCUAUACAUGGUUAGAUUUUCCAAGUCUGACGGAGGCUGUAAAACUUCAAGUAAAAUGUCGUUCUCCCGGUUGAAGUCAAAAUCCAAUUGCAAACAAAGCAGGCGCUUCUUAUUCUUGAGUUGUGCUUCUGCAGCGUCACUCGCAUCUUCUUUACCUCCUCCUAGAUUCCGUAUACGAAGACUCCCUCCAAUGUGAUUUAAGUCUUUUAAUUCUCUUAGAUUAGCUGCUUUACUUUCAUUCUCACCACCACCACACACAGUAACACAUCUAAUGUUUGAAGACAUGUUAUCCUCUCUACUCCCUUUGGUAUGAAGGCCACACCUGAAAGAACAACCCGGAGAUGCCUCAAUUUGAUAAGUUUUCCAAUCGCAUUAGGCAAUUCCUUGAGAGAAGCACACAGAGUAACGUCUAGGGAUUGCAGAUUGCAUAAAUCACACAUGGUUUCUGGCAGGGACUCCAACUGAUAACAAGAUGCCACAUUGAGGUGUCUCAAAUGUAUCAAAUUCCCUACCUCGUUUGGUAUUUCUUUGAUUGAAGACCUUGUCAAAUUCAAUGACCUGAUGCAUGUCAACUGCUUGAACAAAUCAGGCAGUGCAACUCCAAGCGAAGGGUCUCUAGUGUCCAUCAAGAGGCUGCGAAGACCUUUUGCUUUGUGAAUGGACUUGGGAAACGAGCUCUCCUCUGACAGCAUCAUGCUUAAAUGACGAACCCUUUCAAUUGAAGUCUCCACUGUUGCUUUUCCAAGUUUACUGGCAUCCACUGUUAGACAUUCAUUUUUUGUCAUAUAUUGGGAAAAAUCAUGCACUAUAUCAUGCAUCUUGAAUUUCAUUCCUUCACACCAAUCCAUCUCAAAAUCUUGGAAGAAAGAACGCGCUGCUAAGACUUGAAAGUACUGCUCUCCUACACCCGAAGUCUCCUUGAGGUAACCUUGAGCUAUCCACAUCUUCACCAAUUCAUAUUUUCCCAUCUUGUAGUCUUUUGGAAACAUGGCACAAUACAAGAAACAUCGUCUUACCACAGAAGGUAAAUCGUAGUAACUCAAAAGCAAAG